rnacentral:lncRNA from 1 species
AGGGUUUUCUGAUUUUUUUUUUGUUUUGGGCUAGGGUUGUGUUGAUAGUUGUAUUGGGCUAGGUUUUUGGGCUGGGUGUAGUUGGACUAGAUGCAUCUGACUUUGGGUUUGUACCGGGUCACUGUAAAUGGGUUUGGUUUUUAUUGUUAUUGGGCUGUGAACUAUUUGAGUUUUAAUUAAUUUUUAUUUAUUUGGUUUUUUAUUGUGGGCUGGGCAAAUUGGGUAUUACAAUCAGCUAAUUAGGAAAGACUGUGAUGAUAGUCACACCUUACAUCCAAAAGCAAAGCUUUUUACAUGUGUAUGUGAGGUUGCUAAGCAAAUCUGAUGAGCCUUCACUGAUGUUUUAAGGUUAAGUUAAUGUUCCUUUUCGGCAAAGAACAUUAUCGAGAUCACGGUAUUUUGAUCGCCUUUUGCUUGUUAUGUUAUUUGUUCUGAAACGAUUGCAUAAUCUUUACUGUGAUUGCAGGAUAUAGAGCAACUUCUGAAUUUCAUUGGUGUAAAGAGUUGAGGACCACGACAUGUUCUUGCAAAUUUGAAGGAGCUUCUAAGGUCUGUCCGGUCUUCAGAAUAUAUAGAUACCUGAAUUAAUUUUGAUUUUGUAGGAUCAACUAUAAUUAGCUACUUAUUACACUAUGAAUAGACAACCUCACCUUCUUCACACACUACACGUGCGGAUUUUUUACCAAUCCCAUUUCAAAGGAUCACACUUUUUUGUUGUUUACAGAAUCAUAAUUAAUGUUAAUUAAAGUGGAAUAUUUCAGAUUUCUGAUGAUGAGCAUAUUCUUGAGUAUUGCAGUAAAAAAAUGGGUGUGGAACUUAUUUGAACUUUGAAUGUAUGUUCUGUUGGUGAGAAUAUAAAGUUGAUAAAGAUUUGGUAAAUAGAAUAAAAUAUUAUUUUUAUUAGAAAAAUUAUUUGGUAGACUGCCAAUCGAGUUAUAAUUAUCAUGACGUAAAACAUGUCAUAUUACAAAUAAUAAAAUUAUAAUGACUCAAAUAUACGAACAUGUCAAAAUUUACGUAAAACGAAUUAUUAACAUGUCAAUGUAUAAUACGGUACGCAAAAAUAGGAUAAUUGCUUGUUUUUUAAAUUGAAUUGUUAUAACAUAUUAUACAAAAUACAUUGUGAAUUAAAGCAUAAUAUGAACAUGAUAUCAAAAUAUUAAAUAUUUUUUAAAAUUUGAUGAUACGAAUAAUUAUGUAAAAUAUAACAUGAUACAAAAUAACUUGAGAGGAAAAGAGGAAUAAAGAAUUGCAUUGUUUGUGAGGUUUUAAAAUAUUCCAGUUUUAGAUUCAAUUUUCUAGUAUGUUUGGUUUAAUUUUACAUUAGAUUUCCUUUUUAGUAUGCACUAGUGAACGCUUGGCAGUUAAUUUAAUUUAAUUUAAUUUAAAGAGAUAUUGCAUAUACAUAAUAAUGGAUUAUGAUUUUACAUUAAACUUCAUAGAAGAAAAAAGAAAUAGACGGUUGAAAAUGAUAAAACCAUAAGAUAAAAGAGCUUUUAUUUAAAAUGCAAAAAUCAACAAAAUAUGCAUUAUCGCUCAACUUAGCAUAAUUAAACAUUUAGGUGUGGAAAUCAAAUCACAAUUUGAGUAGCUAAACAUAUCGCUUGAAAAUGUGAUAAGUAAGAAAAUUGCCCACAUUUGAGUAGCGACAGGUGGUAAUGCAUUUCCCAACAAGAGAAAACCAAGCUCUUCGCCAGUAUGGAUUUAUGUAGAGGACAACAAAAAUUGUUAACAACACAACUACAUAAGAAACCAAAAAGCUCACACAAAAAUCAUAACUAUCUAUCAAACCAUCUUCUCCUUUAUCUUCUGAUACAGUUGAUAUUGUUGAUGGUGAAUCGGUUUUGGAACAACUUUUAUGCAGUAUAGGUCCACAAAGAAAAGGGUUUCCUUCAUAACUGUUUUCAAUAAAGGUCUCAAAUUGAGCUUUUGGUUCGGGAAUACUACCUGACAAGUUGUUAAAUGCCACGCUGAAAACCUCCAAAGAGUUUAACUCUACCAAUUGAUUGGGGAUUUCACCACUUAAGUUGUUGUAAGAAAGGUCCAAACUCUCAAUUUGAUGUAGUUUUGAGAGUGACGAGGGUAUAACUCCGGUCAACUUAUUGUGUGAAAGGUUUAAAGAAUGGAUUUCACUCAAGUUCCCUAAUUCUGGUGGGAUAUGACCAGUUAAGUUGUUGCAAGAUAAAUCAAUCCCAGUCAUAUAUGAAAGGAUGUCGCCCUUGUAUGAAUAGAACCCACUCUUUGUUGUGAACUCUAUUACUUCUUCUAAGUAGCUACUAGGAUAGUAAGAAUCCAUUCCCAAAUUUAGUAUCAUACUGCGUGUUGUUUCAUCCUCUUCUAUAGAUGGCCCAUAGAACCAAGUUUCUAGAAUCUUCUUCGUUUGCAUUGGAAGAGAUAAAUUUCCCAAACAAGAAGGUAUAGGACCAGAAAACAUAUUUUGAGAAAGAUCUAUGAUGCUUAAAGAAUGCAACUUGCAUAACUCAAUAGGAACUUUACCAUGAAAAUGAUUAUCUUUCAAGAGAAGAACACUCAAAGAAGAAAGCGUGUAAAUCCAUUUUGGAAUACUACCUGUCAAAUUGUUUCCUCUAAGAUCUAAAGUCACUAUUGAAGAGCUAUUAUAAAAAGCAAGUGAUAGUGGGCCUCUCAGUCUAUUCCCGUGGAGGUGGACAUGCUCUAUGUAUGGUGGAUUAAAACAUGACGGUAUAGAGCCAGAUAAAUUAUUUUGAGAAAGAUCCAAAAAUUCCAACCUAUUCAACUUGCAAAAUUCCAUUGGAAUGGAACCUUCAAAACCAUUGUUGGACAUAGCUAAUCUCUGCAAAAACGAUGCAUUCCCUAUCCAUCUUGGGAGCUUUCCAUGCAACUUGUUGUUACUGAGAUCAAUUUCGCUUAGUGAAUUUGGAAACUCAAAAGUAGACACAUCAACAUUUGUCAUCUCUCCUGAAAAAUUAUUUCCAUCCAAAUAUAAAUGCUGCACCCCAUUUGCGCUGAGAAUCACAGGAACUACAUUUCCACUGAGGUUGUUAUUUGAUAGUCUCAAAAUGGUCAGUGAGCCUUUCGUGAUCAACUCUUCUGGUACUUUUCCAUACAAAUGAUUGUCUAAUAGAUCUAAAAAUGAUAAGUCCUUCAUGCCACUUAAACAAAGUGGGAUAUUAUCUUCAAAAGCAUUCUUGGAUAAGAAUAACCGACUCAAAUGUGGAAAAGUUGAACAUAUACCAGUUGGAAUUUGACCUUGUAAUUUGUUUUCAGAUAUGUCAAUUGAAGAUACAUCAGAAAUAAGAGCCGACGAAAGUGAGAGAGGACCUGUAAAUGAAUUACCCUUCAAGAUGAGAUCUUCUAACUUUGUGUUGUUUUCUAGCAACCAAGUUGGUACAGUUCCACUGAGAUUGUUAUGAGAAAGAUCCACAUAUCUCAAGUCAUAUUGGUAGUAAAGGAAGGUAGGAAAUUUACGAUUGAGUUGUUGAGAUGCUAUGCACUUUGGCAAUCUGAUGACUUCCAAUUGGAACUUUGGGAUUGAGGUAUAAAAGGAAGAUUCCAUUACCAUCUUGUUUUCAUUAAUCGAAAGGGCUUUGAGGUUUGAAAGGUUUGCAAAUGGUGCAAAUGACAGCGGAAUUUGAAAAUGGUUUCUUGAAACAUCUAACACACGAAGAGAUGUCAAGUUACUAAAACAACGAGGAAGCAUCCCCUCAAGUGCAUUGUUGCUCACAUCCAAUACUUCAAGGUUCUUUAGAUCACACCAUCCUGAAAAAUUUAUAAAUUCAUGGAAGAAAUUUUAAUUAAAUUUGGUCCUAUUAAAUAGAAUAGGAGAUAUUAUAUUACAAAAGCUAGUAAAGAAAUCAAUUUGAGCCAUAAAAUUAUUUACCUUGAUUAGGUAAGGGACCAAUAAGUCCACAAUGAUAUAAAGACAAUGUUUUAAGAGAAGCGAAUACUCCAAUGCUUUGCAAAAUGUUGGUGUUGAGAGUAGAAUAGUCAAGAUAUAUUUCCUCCAAACUGCUCGACACAUUUGAAUCUAAGCAAUGUCAAGAGGUAUUAGAUAACGGUAUUAUAGAAAGCCUCUACUAAGUAGAAUGCUUUAUUUUCUGUGAAUGAAAUGAAGUAUAUAAAUAUAUAUAUAUAUUUUUUAUGAGUUAGAUUAUUCAUGAUUUAUCUGAGAUAAAUUUUGAUAGAGAGAAGAUGUUGAAACUUUAAUAUAACUCUUCAUCCAUUUUAUUAAUUAUACUAUUUUUUUUCUUUUUAGUAUUUUCUUAUAUUAUUUUUUAAUAUAAGUAAUUAACUGAUAUAGCUAAGUUGUAUAAUUUUCAAACUCCAAUCAACAACACUAUAAAUAAUAUUUAUAAAAUAAAACAUGUCUACACUAAAUGUAUGUUUAAAUUUCAUAAAAUUGAAGAUAUUUUUAAAUUAUUCAAAAUUCACAUGUCUACACUAUAAAUAAUAUUUAUAAAAUAAAACAUGUCUACACUAAAAUUAUUAUAUUACCUUUAAAGAUGCCAAUAGUAUAUAAAAAAAUCAAAUAGGUAUUUUACUCAACAAUAAAUAAAACUCAAAAGAAUUAUAAGUAAACUCAGCGGAUUAAAUGAAAAUUUUAAAGCAUUAAAUCUUGGCCCAAAAAUAGAGUUAAGUUAAAAUUCAAAAUUCAAAAUUAUUUUAUUAAUAUUGUUAAAAUUAUUUUAUUAAAUCCAUGUUCAUUACGUCAUUUUUUUAGUUACAUUACUACUAAGUUUUUUUUUUAUUUCAAAAUGUCACACCAACAAGCUAUUUUAAAAUUUUAACAAUUUUAACAAUUUAACUAGGAUUUUGAUUUUUUUUUAUAAAAAAAACAGGGAUUAAAUUCUUGAAAAUAAAAGUAUAAGAAUUAAAUUACAAAUUAGUAAAGAGUACAUAGACCUAUCAUAUUUUUUAAAACCAAAAAGUUAAAAACAUAUGCACUUUGAAAUUUAUAAAAAGAUUGCAAUGGAAGUUUAAGCACCUCUCAAUGUAUGUUUAAAUUUCACAAAAUUAAAGUUUUUUUUUAAAUUAUUCAAAAUUGACAUUUAUUUAUUUUUGCCAAAAAAUGCCAUUUAUUUAACGCUAAUAUGUAUUUUUAUGUUUUAUACUAUUAAAAAUAUAUGAAAUUAAAAUAUAGUUAUAUUACAUAUUUUCUCAUAAAUAUAUGUUUUUAUUUAUUUAUAAUAUCAUUUUUUAUUGUUAUAAUUAUUUUUUAUCUCAUAAAAAUUCAAUAAAUUAUUUUAAAAAAUAUAUUUAUACAAACAAAAUAAUUAUAAACAUUAAUAUUUUAAAAUGAUGAAAAUUUUAAAGAAUUUUAGUUUCAAACCAAAGUCCAAACACAUUAUAAUGGAUGAUUUAGAAAAUGUUUCACCAAACCCAUAUUUUACUUUCAAGUAUGAUAUGAUAUAACUUUAUUAAUAUUUAUGACAAUAACCGUUAUUAUAAUAUUUGACAUCAAAACUAAAUUUCUAAAUUAAAAAAAAAAAGGAAGUUUAAUUAAAUGAUACCUUGGUGGAUCACCAAAUCUUUCAAUUCAUUAUAGCUCAUAUCUAGUUUCCUUAAGUUGAUAAAUGCUUCCAAAUCUAGGAAAACAAAAACAACAAAUCAACUUCAUUAUAUUCUCUUAAAACAUUAUUAUAUUCUUGUUAAAAAACUAAUACUUUUACCUUUCAUAUCUAUUGAUCCUUUCAAUUCAUUGCCUCUUAUGCUCAAAGAUUUCAAAUUUGAAAGCUUGUUAAGGGAUGCAAAUACACUAGUAUUGAAGUGAUUUCCAUCUAAAUUAAGCUCUUCCAAGUGGGUCAAUUCCAAUUUUCUACCAUCAUCUACAAAAGAUUUAUAUAAUUUCAUCAUCUACCAUCACUAAUUUCAUCUACCAAUUUGUUAAAUUGCUCAAUCCUAUACAUAUCCACGUACAAUUCAAAAAAUCAUUAUGUUAAUAAUUUUAAUUUCUACUUAAUAUUUUAAUGAAAUAAAAAUGAAAAAAAAAAGUAAAUCUAAAACUUGAAUUGAAGAUAAAAAUCCUCAAACGUGAAAUGUGAAUGUUCAAAUUUGAAACAAUUAAUUUUAAAAGGCUCUAGAAAGAAUUAUCAAGAAAAACAAAGUUAUAGCUUUAGUACCUUUAGUAUCUAAUGAGCCUUGCAAACGGUUGUUGAACAAAGUCAAAGACUUUAGGCUUGAAAGCCCUUGAGGAAAGGAAAUUGUGUUGUUCCGAAAGAGAUUACCACUCAAAUAAAGUUCCUCUAAGUUUGUUAGCCUCAAUUGUGUUCCAUCUAUCAUUGGAAGAAAGUAAUUAGUAUAGUUAACAUCAUUCAAGAUAUAAAUAGUUAGGAAAAAUGUUUGUUUGAGAAGGAAGAGCCAAUUUACAAGCUUUCCGAUGAAUUGAUUCAAUAUAUAAAUACUUUGUUUGAGAUACCUUCCUACUUAAAUUACUCAAUUUUGAAAUUUAAUCCCAAAUAUUGAUUACUUAUAUAUAUUCAUGAUAUGAUAAAAUCAAAUGACUUAUUGCAACAACUUUUCCUUCAACAUGAAUUUAUUUUAAAGAAUGCUAUUCUUCAAAUAAUUCCAACUUAUAUCAAUAAUUUCCAAUUUAAUGAGCCAUUGAAAACCUCAUUUAUAUAUUAUAUAAUUAGUUACUACAAAACUUAAAUAAAUAAUAAUACUCCAUUUUUGCAAUAAAAAUUCACUAAAGAAAAUACAUUUGAAGUCUGUCAUUGCCUUUUGGAAUAAGAGUCGGUCAAGAAAGUUACUAUGCAGAAAUACUUAUACCUUUGUUUGAGAUGCUUUCAAUGUCGUUCCAACUUAAAUCCAAGUACUUCAAAUUUGUCAAAUUAUUCAAUCCUGAAAUUCAAUCCCAAAUAUUGAUCAGUUAUAUAUAUAUAUUCAUGAUAUGAUAAAAGCAAAGACAUAUUGCAACAUUAACUGUCCCUUAAACAAAAAUUGGUUUUAAAGUAAAAAAGAAACAUAUAAAACCAGUCUACCUUUAAUAUGAAUUGACAUAUAAAUACUGUACUUAUACCUUUGUUUGAGAUGCUUUCAAUUCUGUUCCAACUUAAAUCCAAGUAUUUCAAGUUUGACAAAUUAUUCAAUCCUGAAAUUCAAUCCCAAAUAUUGAUUAGUUAUAUAUAUUCAUCGUAUGAUAAAAUCAAACUUGAACAUACAUUGAUUUUUAAAUCAAGGAUGAAAGAUUUCUCAUAUGAAACAAAAUGCUAUUCUUCAAAGAAUUCCCACUUAAAUCAAGAGUUUCCAAGUUAUUGAGUCUUGAAAGCAAUUGAAAACCUGAUAUAUAUAUUUACUUGUUAAUUGUUUUUUCUUUCUUAGCCAUAUGAAAAUUUUACUAAAGCAAAAGUGGAAUUACGACGGAUAAAAAGAAUGGAAAACUAGGUACCAAGCCUAGAAGACCAUCCUCAAACUCCACUAUACAAAUAAAAACUAACAGCAGACCAAACUUAAUUUACCUCUUUGAUGACCUGAUCCUUCAAAUUUGUUGAUUGAUAGAUCUAAAUACCGGAGAGAUGAAAGCUCACUCAAAGAUAACAAAAUGCUAUCAUUCAAGUAAUUGAAACUUAAGUCAAGGAUCUCCAAAUUACUCAAUGUGGAUGAUAGUUUUCCAAAGCCUAUAGAAAUAUUCUUUUAAAUAUAUACAAGUUAGUGACUUUUCUUCCAUAAAAUAAAAUAAAAUAUAAGUAAUUGCAAAUUAACGAUGGUAAGAGUAGUGGGAUAAUAAAAGAUGUAAUUAAGGAAAAACUAGAGGCACGACCUUCAUUUUCAAGGUUACCACUUAUGGCAUUCCCCCGCAAAUAAAGACUCUUCAAUUCCUCAAAGGGAAGAAACAUAGAGGUAUUGAGAUACCAGGCAUUGAGAUUCCUAUUAUCCGUUUUGUAUCCCAUACUGUCAAACCAUCUUGUAGAAUUAAGGGAGAGUUGUAUGAGUCUCCUAGUGGUGGUGUUACACUCAACUCUUUCCCAUUUACAACAAUCUGAACCCUUCACCUCAACCCAACUUUGCAAUUGAUUUUGAUAAUUGAAGAAAGGCUUGAGAUGCAAGAGAGCGAUUCUCUCAUGCUCCAAACAAGCAUCAGUAGUACACCAUCUGCAUCCUUCUAACACCAACAACAUUACUGCCAUCCUAAUAAGCCUUAACCAUUUCCACUCCAUCAUCAUCAUCUCUCUGUUUUCACUUCUCUCUCAGUUAUAUGUUACUUUUUGUUAACUUCUAUAUGUAAAUAAUCUAAAGCAGCCUAACCUUCUUAUUUAUAUACAAGCAGAACAUACUGGAUCCCACUAAUUCACUAUAAUGUAAAAAUAAUAUAUAAUUAAUUAAUUCCUCAAAAAUUGGAUCAAAAUCUAGGCUUUUUAUUUACGUAAAUUCCUUAUUGCAAAAACUCCUGGUGGAAAUUCGUUAGGAAAGGAUGAAUGGACCACAAGAAUGUUGAUGUUAAUCUUGAAAAACGAAUGGCCAAAAAAAUAUGAAAAGUGAGAGGUGGACAUAAAAUCUUGUGGUUGGGGUUGCAAAAGUCUUCAUGUGGCUUUCUUGUGAGCUUCAUUUAUACCCUUCUUACACAUAUACAAACUUAGUCUUGACUUGGCUUUAUUAAUGGAAAAUUUAGGUCUUCAUUUUUGGUUUCAUUCAUGGAAAUUUUACUUCUUUGAUUUUGAUUUUGCUUUUAUUCUUGCACAUUUUAGGUUUUGAUUUUGAAAAUUUAGUUUUUUUCAUCUCUAUUAUUAUAAAAUUUCUUGAUUUAAUUAAUAUCAUGAGUUAAUUUAAUAUUUUAAAAAAUAAAAUAUUACAUUCACUAUUUUUAAAAAAAUAGGAGUAACUAUAAAAUUUAAUUAUUUAUAUAAUAUUUUUAUAAAAAAACUAUUUAUUUCUACUAGACCACUACUUUAAAACUAUCAAUUAUCAUAUAACUUCUCUUUAAUAAUUCACUAUUCUUUGAACAUUCAUUAGUUUUUGAAACAUAAAAUUUAUAAAUAAUUAUUUUUAAAAUGACUUGAGUUUUACUUGAAUCAUUUUUGUAAUUAGUUAAUUAAAUUGGGUUAUUUUUAAAAAAAAUCCUCUUAACUAAUAGCAAAAAAAAAAAAAGAAAAAAAAAAGCCAUCAUGUAGAAAAUUCUGGUUUGUUGGAAAGAUAAAGACUUGCACCAUUACUUUAAAUUUUGAAAUGUUCAACUUGAUAUUGACAUCUGAUAAUAUGUACAAAUUUCUCAUUGUUUUGAAUUUUAGUGAUAUUACACAUAUGAUAAUAUGUUUGUCACACCAAAUUUUGAAAUAGUAGAACUUAAUGAAUUUAACAAAUACUUAAUGAAUUUAAGAAAUAUCUAAAAUAUCAAAUUAAAGUCUAGGAAUUAAAUCUACAACUUCAGUAAAGUACAAGAACUAUUGUAGAAUUAAACCUUUAUAUAAUAAUUUCCUUCUAUGAACCACAAUUCAAGUGCACCCCACAAGCAACAUUAAAAAAUUGGCAUGUGUCUAUUUUUUUAAAAAUAUUUAUUUUUUUAAUAUUAUAUACUACACCUCUAUAGGAUACGUGUCAAUCCUUUAACUCUCCUUAUGGAAUUUAAAAACUCCACUAACAAUGUACCAAAUAUUAAUCCUAAUUAUUAUACUAUUCAUGGAUAAAGAUAAAAUAUAAUAUUUGCUUAAAAAUCUCAAUUAUAUAUAUUUGGUCACCCAUUGUGAUGUAAUAUAGCACCGUCUACAAAAUAGUUGGAGGAAAGUGUUAAGAAAAUAUCAUUACAUAUAUCAACAUUCGCAUAAUUCAUUGCAUUAACUUUCAAAUGUUAACUAUUGACUUCUGCGUCAACUUUGAGCUUAUAUAGGUCCCCCUCAUGGAAAUUGAGAAAAACAAAUUAAUAUGUAUAUUCUUGUGGGUGGAAAUUUAGUGGAGAUGCCCAUCAUCUUUCCUAAUUAAUAAAAAUGAAGACUUAGAAAAUGUGCAAUCAUAAUCCUAGUCGUCGUUAUGGCCCCAAGAAUAGUUAUCUUAAUUUGUCUCUCUUCAGGAUUAAAGAUAAAAAAUAAAUUUUAUAAAGUUAGAACUAUAAUUUUAUAAUUAUAUUAACAUAUAAUUUCAUAAAAUUUUAAAAAUGUAUCUUUUAAUUUUUUAAUUAAAUUGAUAAUUCGUUAACUCAUAAUAUUAUUUUAUUUUUCAAAAUAUUUACGAGAACGAGUUCGUAUUCUAUUGUGUGGAAAAUUUUAGUACAGAUUAUUAAGUUAUUGGAGAAGCCAAAUCCAACUUGUUUGACCAAGAAAGUUUUUGUCGCGUGGAAAAUGGACAUUACCAUUUCCUUGAAUGACCUUCAAUUUAAUGUAUUCACACCAAAUUUCAUUAAUGAGUAAAACAAAUAAUGAAUAAUAAUGAAAAUUGGAGGAAAUUGUUAAGAAAUUAUUAUUACAUAUAUCAACAGUCACAUAAUUCAUUGUAUUAACUUUCAAAUGUUGACUAUUGACUUUUACAUCAACCUUGAGCUUAUAUAGGCCCCCCUCACGGAAAUAAUCUCAUAAUUAAUGCCUGAAAAAUUAUUAUACAUCAAUUUACAGUUUUAAUCCCUAGACUUACUCAAUUGAAUUAAAAUUUUAGUUUUUAUUAUUUAAUUUGAACUAUUACUUUAGAUUUUGAAAUGUUCAACUUGAUAUUACAAAUUUCUCAUUCUUUUGAAUUUUAGUGAUAUUACACCUAUGAUAAUAUGUUUGCCACACCAAAUUUAGAAAUAGUAGGACUUAAUGAAUUUAAUAAAUAUCUAAAAUAUCAAAUUAAAGUCUAGAAAUUAAAUCUACAACUUCAGUAAAGUACAAGAACUAUGGUAGAAUUAAACCUUUAUAUAAUAAUUUUCUUCUAUGAACCACAAUUCAAGUGCAUCCCACAAGCAACAUUAAAAAAUUAAAAUGUGUCUAUUUUUUUAAAAUAUAUUUUUUUUAAUAUUAUAUACUACACAUAUAUAGUAUACGUGUCAAUCCUCUAACUCUACUUAUGGGAUUUAAAAAAUCCAGCAACAAUGUACGAAAUAUUAAUCCUAAUUAUUAUACUGUUCAUGGAUAAAGAUAAACUAUAAUAUUUGCUUAAAAACCUCAAUUAUAUACAUUUGGUGACCCAUUGUGACGUAAUAUAGCACCAUCUACAAAGUAGUUGGAGGAAAUUGUUAAGAAAAUAUCAUUACAUAUAUCCAACAGUCACAUAAUUCAUUGCAUUAACUUUCAAAUGUUGACUAUUGACUUCACGUCAACUUUGAGCUUAUAUAGGCCCCCUCCUCAUGGAAAUAAUGUCACAAUUAAUGCUUGAGAAAUUAUUAUACAUCAAUUUAUAGUUUUAAACCCUAUACUUACUCAUUUGAAUUAAAAUUUUAGUUUCAAUUUGAUAUAUUUUGUUCCUCUUAUUAAUAUUAAUGUUAUAGAUUUAUUAAAAUAACUAACAUUAUUAAUUCUCUAACAUUUAAAAAUUAAAAUUAUGUGGUUAUUAAAAUUAUGAUGCUAAAUUGAGAAUUAAAAAUUAUCAAGUUUUAAAUGAUCUCGGGAAUUAAGAAGAGAUCGUGUCCUAACUUAUUGGGCAUGAUCCUUUUUUUUCUCAAGUUUUAAAUGAUCUCAGGAAUUAAGAAAAGAUCGUGUCCUAACUUACUGGGCAUGAUCCUUUUUUUUUUAAAAUCUAAGAUAGCUAAAUAUUUUUUAAAUAAGUAAAUUUUUGGCAUUCAUUCGCGCAUCGGGAAUUCAAGACAUUGUGUCCUAACUUACUGGAUAUAAUUCUCUUUCUCGAUUAAUGUGAAUUAUGGCUUUUUCCCGAAAAUUUUCAACAUUUCAAUAAAGGAUCGUAUUUUAAAUCUCUUUAAAGUUUUCAAUCUUCGAUACUAAGACAUUAAUUAAUCAACUAGGUACCAAUUUUGGGCGUAACGAGGGUGCUAAUCUUUCCUCGUACGUAACCGACUCCCAAACCUGUUUUUCUGAAUUUCGUGGACCAAAAUUAUUAUUUUAUUAAAAUUAAAUUGUUUAUUAAAAAUAACCACUUUUCAAGGUGGCCCGAUCACACCUUAUCAAAAAGGAUUGGUGGCGACUUCCAUAUUCGUUUUCAUUUUUUAAAAUCCAAGUCGACCCCGUUUUCACAAAAAAAAAAAGUGUCAACAAUUAUAUUAAUAUAUAAUUUCAUAAAUUCUUUAAAAAAAAUUGUAUCUUUUAAUUUUUUAAAUUAAUUUAGUAAUUCAUUAACUCAUAAUAUUAAAUUUUUUAUUUUUCAAAAUAUUUACGAGAACGAGUUCGUAUUCUAUUGUGUCGAAACUUUUAGUACAGAUUAUUAAGUUAUUGGUGAAGCCAAAUCCAACUUGUUUGACCAAGAAAGUUUCAGUCGUGUGGAAAAUUUUAGUUUUGUGGAAAAUAUAGAUUAACUUCUAUAUAUGUAUGUAAUCUAAAGAAGCCUAAGCUUCUUAUUUAAUUAUAUACAAGCAGAAGAUAUUGCAUCCCACUAAUUCACUAUAAUAUAAAAAUAAUAUAUGAUUAAUUAAUUCCUCAAAAAUUGGAUCAAUCUAGGCUUCUUAUUUACGUAAAUUCCUUAUUGCAAAAACUCUCGAUGGAAAUUCGUUAAGAAAGGAUGAAUGGACCACAAAAAUGCUUAUCAACUCUUGACUUUGGCGUUCAAUGCUAAGUUCAUUUUAAAAUUCUUUCAUGGAGAGAAGAUGGGAUGACAAGAAUGAUAAGUUUUAAGUCAUUUAAGUUUACACAAAAUUUUAAUCACUCACAAAAAAUCAGUCUUGAUAUUCUAUUAAAAAAUUUAAACAUGGCUUAACGUUGAUUUUAAAUCUAAUGUCGAUGUCAAUCUUGAAAAACGAAUGGCCAAAAAAAUAUGAAAAGUGAGAGGUGGACAUAAAAUCGUGUAGUUGGGGUUAUAAAAUUCUUCAUGUGGACAUAAUAUAUUUUUUAUGCCCUUCUUACACUUAUAUAAAGUUAGUCUUGAUUUCGCUUUAUUAAUGGAAAUUUUAGUUCUUCAUUUUUUGUUUUAUUCAUGGACAUAAUAUUUAUUUUUAUUUUUUAUUUUUGUGUUAUGGUCUAUGUUCGAGGUUUAUGGCUAUCCCCUUUCAACAACGUCGUCUCAACGGUUCAAACAUACACUUGCAGGUAAAAUAAUACUUUUUAAAAUCACAAAUAUUUGAAAUAAUAUAUUGCAGCUAUAUAAAUGCUUUCUUGUUUAAGAUACUAAUAAAGUAAUUAACAAAGUAAUUAUUAUACCUAUAAUAAUUCAAAAUGCCACUUGUUAUCUAAUGAAGUAUAGGGGUGCAAAUGAGACAUCCGUACCCGCAAGCUAUUCGAAUUCGGCUCAAAAAAUUUUGAAUUUGAUUCGGUAAUUAUUGCGCCGAGCUAUAGGUCGAUCCGGAUUCAAGCUUAGUAAUACUUGACUCGAGUAGUUUGGGAGCCUUAUUGAACUUUUCAUAUUUUUAUAUUAUUAGAUUACAUUAUUGCCUUUAAUAUAUAUUGUUAACCCUAAGUUUAAUUAUUGAGGCGAGCUCGAACUCGAGUACAAAAAUUGAUAAACAGAUUUAAUUUCGAGCUUAAAAAUAUAUGUUCAAUCGAGUAUCAAGCUUUGAAUUUCAAAUUAAACUUGAGUUUAACCGUAUUGAGUUCGAAUAGAUUCAAUUACACCCUACAAUAAAAUAUACCAACAAAACCUACAUUCCAUAUUUGCUUAAAAACUUUGCUGUAAAUUUUAUAUAUGUGUGUGUUUAACGUGAGUUCCAUCUAUGUCCAACUUGAUGACGAUGAAAGUUCCUAUGGUGUAAAAAGUUUUAGUUAUGUGGAAAAAUAAGGUCUUCUCUUCACACGUUUAAUAUGCUUACUUGUGACGGUCAUUUCGGGCUUGACAUCAAUUUUCAAAAUGUUCUAAUUGGUGGAAAACUUACGUCUGCUUUUAUGAUUCUUUCAAGUCAAUUGGAGAAUGCCUCUGUUACACUUCAAAAGAAGUAGAUUUUGAACUCAACAUGAACCUGUGAGAUUUGAUGCCUAAAAUAUAGGUAUAAGGUUUCAAUUCAAGGAAAUGUUGGAAGUCCAGGAAAUUUCUUAGUCUCCUCUCUUUGGAUGUUUUUGAACAAAAAUGUUUUAAGUCUCUUCCGAUGCUAAACUUCUGAUUGGUCGUCGGUUCACUGACCCUUUGGUACACAGCAAUAUGAAGCAUUGGCCAUUCAAGGCCAUUGCUGGUCCUGGUGAUAAGCCAAUGAUUGUACUACUAUAGAUUUGAAAUGAUUGUACACAUCUGAUCGGCUCUUUGUAAAUUUAAAUCUUACAAAUUCGGAUAAUAUUCGAAUUUAAAUAUUUCAAUUACUAUCUGCAAUAGAUUAAAAACAAACGUGAUUAUCAAUCCUUGGAUAUCCACAUACAGAUUAUGCAAUACAAUCUCUUAAGGCAUAUAGAAUUUGGGUCUUAACCAAGCUAUGUUGCUUAAAAGCUUGCUAAAAGCACCCCUAACAAAGGGGUAAAUAAAUAAAAUAUCAAGCACCAGUUAUCAAAGCAGAUUGACCACCUUAUAUCUAUGUAUGCUACUACAAAACUUGCACCAUUAAAAUCUCAAGCUGGUAAUUGGAGCUUCAUGUUAUUCUUGCAGCUGCAGGCAUAAUAAUCAAAUAAGUUGCAAUCAUUCACAUAGGUACUAUGAAGUGCUUUCCAGAGCGUGAGAAACCUCUGGAAGUAAUAGUAGAAGAAAUCAGCAUAAAGCAAUGUCUGGACAAGACCGCAAAUCCAAGCUGAUCAAAGGCAUCAAUCAUGUAAACUAGGUGUUAGAAAUAACAAAUAUAGCAUAGAAUAUAACAAAUAAUGAAUAACAAUGAAUAGUACACGUUACCAUUUCCUUGAAUGACCUUCAAUUUCUCCAUUGAGAUAUAGUAAGAGGGAGUGGAAUAGAUGUAAGGUAAUAUUUGAUGUAUUCGGUAAAUGAAUAAUAACACCACAUUCCAUUAAUGAGUAAAACAGAUAAUGAAUAAUAAUGGAAGUUUUAUAAAAUAAAAAUAAAUUAAAUCAUAUACAUAUAAUGUAUUAAAUCUUAUUCGUGAAGUUCACAAUGAACAAAAUACUAAUCCAUAAUGGAGAAAAAUAACCUAAACUUUAAACAUUUGUUCAUUACUAUAAACAUAUGUACAACUUUUUAAAGGUUUUAUAUAAACUAUUAAAAGGUAUAAACACUCUCAUAAAAAUAUAUUAUUAAGUACGUCUUCUUUUACUAGGAAAGUUCCUAUCCUGUAGAAAAAUGUAGUUUUGUGAAAAAAGGUCUUCUAUGCACUAAUUUGUGGCAAUCACAUGGGGUUUGGGAAUUUCAAUUUUGAUAGCCAACCGAGAUUCACUAAAUUUAAAUUUUAUUAUGAUUAAUUACGCUCUUCGUUUUGGAGAAAUAGGUAAUCACAACAACUAAUUUAAUUAAAUGUAAUUUAAUAAUUAAUUUUUUUAUAAUUUAAUUACAUUAACUAUAUUUAAAUUUAAUAUUUAGUAUUUAUAUUUUAAUUUAACAUAAUUUAAUUCACUUACUUUUAUAAUAUUAUUAGUUCGUCUAAAUAGUUGACACCUUUAAUUAAUUCUUAUUAAAAUGUUAAAAAUGUUUAUACUUAUUUUCCAUGUUAAAAUAUAUAUUUUUUUGUGCUUUUAAAAACAAAAUUUCACAAUAUCAUUUCCCGAUAUAAAAAUUAAAUCUCAAAUUAAUUUAUAUUUUUGUAUUUUUUUAUAACUAAUGUUAUCAAGAACUCUUAAUAGUGCAACUGAUUCCACCAUAAUAUUUAUAUUCUUUAAAUAUGAUUUACAAUUUAUGUUUGGAGUUCGUGACUGUCAUUCUUAAUAAUGUCAUUUCUAAUGUUCGAACAUGCAUCUCCCCUUGAGAAUGCAAUAUUCAUUACUAUUGCACCUAAUUAUUUUGAUAAUUUAAUUUUAAAUAUUGACAUAAAAAUAUUUUUAAAUAUAUUAUUAAUAAAUUUAAUUAAGAUUAUAAAACUUGAGGUUUUUUUUAAUUCUUCAAAAAUGUCAUUUAUUUAUUUUUGGCCAAAAAAUGCCAUUUAUUUAACUCUAAUAUGUGCUUUUAUGUUUUAUUUUAAAAAUAUAUGAAAUUCUAAUGAUAGUUAUAUUACAUAUUUUUUAAUUUUAAAUAUCAUUGUUCUUUUAUAAUUUGUUUCAAGUAUGAAAUGAUAUAAUUUUUUUUAGUAUCUAUCACAAUAACCUUUACUAAGAAUUGAAACUAAAUUUCUAAAUUUUGAACAAAAAUGAAAGUUUAAUUAAAUGAUACAUUGGUGGAUUCAUUACCCCUCAUAUCUAGUUCCCUUAAGUUGAUAAAUGUUUCCAAAUCUAGGAAAACAAAAAACAACAAAAUCAACUUCAUUAUAUUCUCUUCCAACAUUAUUAUAUUCUUGUUAAAAAUCUAAUAUUUUUACCUUUCAAUCCAUUGCCCCAUAUGCUCAAAGAUUUCAAAUUUGAAAGCUUCUUAAGGGAUGCAAAUACACUAGUAUUGAACUGAUUUCCAUCUAAAUAAAGCUCUUCCAAGUGGGUCAACUCUAAUUUUCGACCACCAUCAAUAAAAGAUUUAUAUAAUUUCAUCACUAAAAUGAAUUGGCAUAAACUUUUAUUAUAUAUAAGAAUUUAGGUAAUUGGUUAAAUAUAAAUGCAUACCAUUUAAGGAUUGAAAGCUUUCAAUUUCAUUCCAACUUAAAUCGAGUUUCUUCAAAUUUGUUAAAUUGCUCAAUCCUAUACAUAUCCUCAUCCAAUUCAAAAUCUGAAAUUAGUAAAGAUAAAAUUGCACAUUGACCCCCUAAAAUUGAUAAAAAUUUAAUUUAAUUCUUUAAAAAUUAUAAACAUAUGUAGCGACCUAAAAAUUUCGGCACGGGCGCUAGUCGAAGUAAUUAUUGUAAAUUUGAAAACUGAAUCUCGAUUUUAUUUGAAAAAGGAGUCGCCACCGAUAUUUUUUCUAGGUGUGAUCGGACACCUACAAAAUUCUCUUUUUAGAAGAAAAAAUUAUUUUUAAACUUUUCUAAAAAAGAGGUAAUUUUAGGUCCACGUAAAAAUCCAGAGAAAAUUAGGGUCCGGGAGUCGGUUACGCGCGAGGAAGGUAUUAGCACCCUCGCAACGCCCAAAAUUGGUAUCUCGUUAAACGCGUGUUGUCUUCAUUUUCAAAAAUACGAGUUCAAUUUAAUAUUAGUCGUGAUCCGAUUGAACACGAGAAUUUUAAAGCGCAACAACUUUUUCUUUUUUGAAAACACGAAAAUUUUAAAAUACAAGAAUUUUAGAAACACAAAACUUUUUUUUUAAAAAAAACACGAAGAAUUUAAAACACGAGAUUUUUUAUUUUUAUUUUUGAAAACACGAUUCUUCUUUUUGAAACACGAAAAUUUUUAAAACAGAAAAUUUGUUUUUGAAAACAUAAAUUUUUUGAUAAAAUACGAAACACGAGAAAUUUUGAAGACAUGAAAAUUUUUGAAACACAAUUUUUCUUUAAAAAAUACCGUAUUUAACACGAAUCGAUGAUAUUCAUCCCGAUAUGGCGAUGAAACCAUCGAAUUAGUGUUAACUCAAUUCAAUUUAAUAUUUAAUCGGGAUUCUAAUAAAACACGAGAAUUUUUAUUAAAAUACGAGGAUUUUUGAAUAUUUUUAUUUUUAAAAGGGUGUCCCGAAUUUAACACGAGCUAUCGAUAUCCACCCAACAUAGCGAUGAAUUCGAUGACUUGAUGCUAAAUCGGUUCGUUGCCUUAUGCAUUAAAAUAUUAUUAUUUUUAAAAAAAAUAUGCAAUUAAAAUGACAUAAUAAUAUUUAUGAAAACUGUUUUAAAGCAUACUAAUUUAAAUUAAAUAAAACACCAUUUAAAUAAAUAAAAUAAAAUAAAAUAGAUUAAAAAGAAAAAAAGAAAAAAAUUACCCAAAAGCCCAAAGUUAUGGGCUUAAAUUUUGGGCCUCCCCUUUUAUUAUUUUUUUUGCUGUUGGGCUNNNNNNNNNNNNNNNNNNNNNNNNNNNNNNNNNNNNNNNNNNNNNNNNNNNNNNNNNNNNNNNNNNNNNNNNNNNNNNNNNNNNNNNNNNNNNNNNNNNNNNNNNNNNNNNNNNNNNNNNNNNNNNNNNNNNNNNNNNNNNNNNNNNNNNNNNNNNNNNNNNNNNNNNNNNNNNNNNNNNNNNNNNNNNNNNNNNNNNNNNNNNNNNNNNNNNNNNNNNNNNNNNNNNNNNNNNNNNNNNNNNNNNNNNNNNNNNNNNNNNNNNNNNNNNNNNNNNNNNNNNNNNNNNNNNNNNNNNNNNNNNNNNNNNNNNNNNNNNNNNNNNNNNNNNNNNNNNNNNNNNNNNNNNNNNNNNNNNNNNNNNNNNNNNNNNNNNNNNNNNNNNNNNNNNNNNNNNNNNNNNNNNNNNNNNNNNNNNNNNNNNNNNNNNNNNNNNNNNNNNNNNNNNNNNNNNNNNNNNNNNNNNNNNNNNNNNNNNNNNNNNNNNNNNNNNNNNNNNNNCUCUUUUUACUUAAUUAUUUAUCAAUUUACACUAGUUCGAGUUUUUGUAACAGUAUCAUGGAGACUUAUGUACUAGGAGUUAGAUUGUAUUUUGCCUCUUUUACUCAAAAAAUGAGUAAAUUAAUCCUUGUACGUUAAAUCAAUGAGCAAACUAGUCCUUUUAGUUAACAUUUUCAUUCAUUUUUACUAUUAAAAAUUGGAGUGACUAACGAAAUAACCAGAUAGUUACACAUUACAUGCCAAGGGUGAAGCCAGAAAAUUCUUUUAGGGGGCCGAAAUUAAAUUUUAAUUUUUAAUAGCUUAUAUCUUUAUAAUUUUUAAAUGAUUAAAUCAAAUUUUUAUCAUUUUUAGGAGGGGACUAAAGUGUAAUUUUAUCUUUACUAGUUUAAAUUUCUAAAAUUUCUAAAAAGCCUAAAUGGAUAAUUUUCAAUUUUAGAGGGGUCAGGGCCCUUGCCAGCCUCCCUAGAUACGCCACUGUGGCAUGCCACAUGUACCUCAUGUCAGCAUACAUGAACCCGUUUUUAACAGUUAAAAUGGAUGAAUUUUUUAGUAGAAGGAUUAAUUUUCUCAUUUUUUGAGUAGAGGAAAGAAAAUGCAAUCCAAUGCCUAAUACAAGGGCCUCUAUGUCUUUCAUUAUUACUCAAUUAUUUGUCAUCAAAAGUUGUAUAUGUUCAAAUAUAAAUACAAUAAAACACAUAUGUAGUUAUUAAACAUAUCAUGCUAAUGUCAUUGUUUCUUCUUUAUCCAAAAUUAUUGGACUUAUAAAAUUCUUGAGAAUAAGAAAACCCCAUUAAACUUCCUUUUAAGUAAAACGUGUGUUCAAAAUCUUGAACUAGGUUUAUGCAGCAAUAGAAAUUCACAAGCUGUUUUUUUUAUACAUGAGAUGUGAAUCUCAAAAUUUUAGGGUUUCUGAUCUCAUAUAUUUUGGGUCCAGAUUUAAUGCUAAGGAUUUGUUGAGAAAGUUGAAAGGGAAGAAAAUGAUGUUCAUUGGGGAUUCACUAAGCUUGAAUCAAUGGCAGUCUCUAACAUGCAUGUUGCAUGCAUUUUUGCCACAAUCAAACUACACUGUUCACAGAGAAGGGAACCUUUCGACCUUUUAUUUGCCUGUGAGUUGCCAAAUCUAGUAGCUAUUUUAUUUCCUUCUUAUAAUUAAAACUUUUCAAUGUCACCUUUAGAAGGUAGCUGCAUGAAUCAAAUGAGUUAAAUCAAAUAGACUAAUUACUAUUGUUUGGCAAAAAUACCGAGUAGACCUUUUUAAAAAUAGUUAUUAUACUUUUAUUACAACAAAAUAAGCAGGGGUGAACCUAAAAUUUUUUUUAGCAGGAUAGAAAUUUAAUUAUAAUUUUUUCAUAGAUCAAAAUAUAAAUUUAUUAUGAAUUAAUUUAUAAUUUUAUCAUUUUUAAAGGGAUUAAACAGAAAUCAUUUCAUUUUUAUGGGGGUUAAAGUGUAAUUUUACUAUAUAUUAAUUUAUAAUUUCUUUAUUUAUAAGACUAGAAAAAAUUUUCAUGGGGGCCAAAGUACAAUUUUACUAUAUAUUAAUUUAUAAUUUCUCUAGUUAUAAAAGAACUAAAUUAAAAACUUUUCAUUUUUUAGGGGGGCCAAGGCCCUGCCUACCCCUUUCAGAUUAUUCGCCUCUGAUAAUAAGCCAUUAAACUUUAAUUUAUAACCGUUACCAUUAAUUUUUAACUUAUAUCCAAAUAACCCCUUACCAUUUUAUUUAUACUCAAAAUAAAAUUUAACAUAAAUAAAGGUGAGAGAGGGGCCUUGGCCUAUUGGUUAAAAUAGAAAAUUUUCAUUUAGGUCCAAAGGUAAAGCCAAAAAAUCAUUUUAGGGGGUUGGAAAUGAAUAAUAAAUUUUUGGGGAGACUAAUAUUGCAAUUUUAUCAUUAUAUCAACUUAUAAUUUCAUAAAUUUUGAAAAGAUUAAAAGACAAAUUUAUCAAUUUUUGGGGUUGUCUACUCUCCUGAGUUGGUCUCUAUUGAAAAUUAAUAAUUCCAUAAAAUAUAGCUUUCCUAAAUUUAUAAUUUUAGCUCGACCCUAAAUAUAAAAUUCUUUGCUUUACCCCUGAUAUUAAAUCAAAAGAUAGAAACUUAUUAUGUUACUAUAAGAAUAUAGGGAUUUAUUUAGCAAAAGCAAACUAUUUCAAGGACUUUUUUGGUAGUUUGCACUUAUAGUUGGUAUUAGUUAGAAUUAAGUGCCAAGAUUAAGUUUCCUUUGAGAUAUAUAGUUGGUUAAGCAAUUUAAUAUAAGUGGAAAUUUAGACCCCUAAGUUAUACCCUUCAUGCAUUUGGACAACUGUGUUGAGCCAAAAAAAAAAUUGCAGGAGUAUGAAGUUUCGUUGAUGCUAUCACGCAAUGCAUUUCUUGUGGAUAUUGUCCAAGAAAAGAUUGGCACCGUUCUGAAGCUUGAUUACAUUAAAAACGGCGAAUCAUGGAAAGGAUAUGACUUUCUCAUCUUCAAUACCUGGCAUUGGUGGCUCCACACUGGAAGAAAACAACCGUAAGCAAAACAUAAUUUCAGCAAUUAAAACCCGAUUUUUUAAUUGCAUCCCGAGUAGAUUUGUAAACAAAUACAACACUCGAAUUGGGUUGGGUUUGAACCGGAAUAUCAUUCCUAUAGUUUUGAUUAGACCUGUAGUUUAAAAGUUAAUUAUUUAUUUAAGUUUGAAAAUUCGUUUGAAAUUUAGAAGAAUAUUUAGAUAAAAAUAUUAGACUUCAUAAAUGAGCUUGAGUAAAAAAAUUAAACCCGUUUUUAAUAUGGGUUAAGCUUAAGCUCAAAAAAGUUAAGGAUCCAGACAUGUUGAUGAACUUAAAAUGAAUUUGCGAUAACUAUUUACAAAUAUUAGUAUGUUGGAGCAAAAUUUUAAGCCAUUGUUUGGUCCAACUAAAUUUAGGCAAAUAUAAAGUGCGUUAAUAUCAUGCUUAAAAUUGAUUCAAACUGAUCCCAACCCAUAACCACUUCUAAUUCUGAUUAGUUUGACUCAACCUUUUUAUUCUUUUAAAUACUUAUAAAAUCUCUUAUCCAAUUAUAUUUAUAUUUGAGCAAAAAAUGAUGUAUGUAUGUAUGUAUGUAUGUAUGUAACUUGAAAAAUGAAUUGGAUAUUAGAUGGGAUUUCAUUGAAUCAAGAGGAAAGGUGAAGAAAGACAUGGAUCGUAUGGCUGCAUAUAGAGAGGCACUAAGAACAUGGUCAAAAUGGGUGGAUUCCAAUGUUAACACUACAACUACCCAAGUGUUUUUUCAAGGCAUUUCUCCGACUCAUUUCAAGUAAGCUUUAGCUCUUCUCUUCUCUUCUCUUACCAUUUGCAUUAACUUCCUUGUUCUUAUUUUACUUAAAAGAAAUGGAAUUAUGAAAAAAAUUGAAAGCCAUUUUUUUUCCAAUAGAACUUAAUUCAUUUUAAUCCCAUCAGAUUUGGUUCAAAUUAGAGGUGUUUAUAAGUUGGUGAGUCAAUCGGCUUAGUUCGCUUUAGACUGCACUUGAAGUUAAGUUUUCAAGUUUCGAGCCAGAUUAGCCUUACUUGUUUUAUUAGUCGAAGAAAACUAUUUUUAAUUGUUUUAUAAACAAUGAAAAUGGACCAUUUAGGUAAGCUUAAGUUUGGAAAAUUUUUGAAAUUGGGCUUAAACUUGACUUGGAAAAUGAACACUUAUAGUUGAAAGAAACUCAUUUGUCAUAAAGCACAAAUACUUUUAUGAUUAGAGACGUUAAUGGGCUUGAACUUAAAUUUUCUUUUUGGUUUAAGCUUGGUUCGAGUUGAAAACUCGUAUUGUUUAAAAUAUUUCUAAUAUAUUAUUGUUUAAAAUAUUUCAUAAAUAUUUUCAAAAUGAAAUAUGUGUAAGAAUCAUAAAUUCAAGCUGUAGUGUUUCCUCAUAUAAAUUAUGAAUCACUCUAAAUAUCUCAAAGAGAAAAUGACAGUUCAUUGACAUCUAUAUAAAGAUUUUUUUUUUUAAAAUAAAAAUCAACAAGUCUCUUACGUUAUCCAUAUAUAAUAUGUGGAUGUACAAUUAUAAACUUCACCUCAAACAAUUUGGUAUUUUGAUCCACAAUUUUGACAGUGGCAAAGAAUGGAAUGGUACCAAAUCAACAACUUGCACACAUCAAAUCAGACCGGCUACCGAUUUAACGUACGAAAGUGAUCCACCUCCGGAAGUGACGAUCGUAAAGGAAGUGCUAAAAAACAUGUCGACGCCGGUGGUUUUGCUCGACAUAACCAGAUUAUCACAGCUGAGGAAAGAUGGUCACCCAUCAAUUUAUACUGGUCUAAAAGGAAAUGAUUGUAGUCAUUGGUGCCUAGCUGGUGUUCCUGAUACAUGGAAUGAAAUCUUAUAUGCAAUUCUUACAAGUAGGAAAACUUAAUUCAAGAUUAUAAUUUUUUUUUCAAUUUAAUGUAUUUAGUUAAUAAAAAUUAAUUUCCCAUUAAUAGAUGAAGAAUUUUAAAUUUAAUAACAUAGGUGUAGCCAUCAAUUUAAUGUAUUUUUUACCCGAACCCAAAUUAAGUCAAGCUCAAACCAAUGGAAAACCUACAAUAUUAUUCAUAAUAAUAUUGAAACUUUAGAUUUUUUUAUUAGUAUUAUAUAUUUUAAUAAUUAAUUUUAAAUAUUUUUAUUAAUAAAUAGUAUUCAGGUCGCGCCAGCCCAAUUUAAAAGAUAUUUAACUCAAUAUAAAUUCAACAUAUUAAAUGAAUAAUUCAAAUGUCAAAAUGAGCAAAGGAAAAUCUAGAGUUGUAAGCUUUGCAACUUUAAAUUGGACAUGAGAGUUUCUUUUAUUGGAUACAUGCCACAUUAUUUUUUAACAAAAUUCCUUUAUUUUAUCAAUUGAAUUUAAAUUAUUAUAUUAAUAAAAUUAUUUAAUUAUUUAAUUGUGUUUCAACCUUUUACAUAAAAUAAAAUUUUCUCUUUUAACUUUUUCAUCAUUUAAUUUUUCACUUUUUAAAAUCACCCUCAAUUUCAAAUAUAAAUUUACUUGUGUAAAAAAAAAUCUAAAUCUGUUAAUUGCAUCUAGAACUUUUCAGAGUUGGUCUUGUCAAAAUUUUAAGUCUAUUUGCUAGGCCCAAGUUUGGCCUAAAAAAUAGACUUAAAAUUUUGUCUAAAUUUAACCCGGAUAAAAUAUUAAAAUCAGGCUCGACUCAACUCACCUGAAUUAAUUUUUCUAUAAAAAUAUUAAAAAUAAUAGGUCAAAAUACUAAAAAUAUUAAAAUAAAUAUUUUUUAAUAAUUUAAAAAUAAAUUUAAAAAUAUUUAUACUUAGAUAAAAUUAACAAUAAAAUAAUUUUUUAAUGUUUAUUAAAAAAUGGGCCGGACCGGGCUCGGGCUUAUGAUAUUUUUCCCGGGCCGGGCCUGGAAAAAUAUCAGGCCCAUAUUUCGAGCCGGGCCAAAAAAAAUUUCUGGGCCCGACCCGGCCCAUGGACAGGUCUAAUCUUAGACCUUUUCAGUGUUGGUCUUGUCAAAAUUUUAAGUCUGUUUGCUAGGCCCAGGUUUGGCCUAAAAAAUAGACUUAAAAUUUUGUCUAAUUUUGACCCGAAUAAAAUGUUAAAACCAGACUUAGACUCAACCCACUUGAAUUAAUUUUUUAUAUAAAAAUAUUAAAAAUAAUACGUCAAAAUAUUAAAAAUAUUAAAAUAAAUGUUUCCUAAUAAUUUAAAAAUAAAUUUAAAAAUAUUUAUACUUAGAUAAAAUUAACAAUAAAAUAAGAGUUAUAUAAUAUAUAAAUAAUAAUAAAAUAAUAGUAACAACAAGAAAAUAGUAAUUUUUUGUCUUUUUGUUAAUUCAUAUCGGACCGGGCUUAACCCGGUUGAGAACGGUACUUAUAUUUGUACAAAAAAAAAAUCAAAAAAAAAUGUGAACGGUACUUAACCCGGUUGAGUCGGAGCUCCAUGACCCGAACAGCAAUUUAUUUUUCAAUUCUUCUUCGUUACGCAAAAAGGAAAAAAAAAAAAACAGCUCAUGAAAAUGGCAUGGUCAAAUACUCUGCUUCAGAUUCACAUCAAAUCCCCUUCGAUCCCUUCUCUCCAUUUCCCACAUUCCCUCCCAAAAAGCUCCCCAUUCCUUCUUAAUCCUAACCCUAUAAAUCCCAUUCCCAGAUCCCUCAGAAUGCAAUUCCUUCACAGACCCAACGCUGUCCCACUCGUAUCAAGAGCCAUGGACAUCAUCCAAUCGUCUCCUCCCACGUGGCAAUCCGCAGUCCUCAGUAACCUCUUGAUCUUCGUCGUCGGCACCCCACUUUUAGUGGCGGGGCUUUCUCUCUCCGGAAUUUGUGCUGCGUUCUUGCUUGGCACUCUCACUUGGCGCGCUUUUGGCUCCCCUGGGUUUCUCCUCGUUGCUUCGUACUUCGUUAUUGUGAGUUGCUAAUAAUAUAUUAUGAAUUGUAGCUGAAUUAUGGGAAUUAAGUUAAAUUUUGGAAAUUGGGUUUUGAUUUUGUAUCCAUCUGGUAUUAAAAGUUGCUUGCUUUGGAGAAUUAGCUGUCAUUGUUUGGUAGUAUGGCAAGGAAAAUAAACUUAAUUUAUGUCGAAAGGUUACUUUUUAAUUAGUUAGCUAUUCAAGUUUGAUUAGUUGUAUUUAGAGAAAUUGAUUGUACUAGGUGAAAUGAGAUCAAAAGAUUAACAAAAGUUACUUGAUGGUUUCUAGCUUUUUAGCUGAAAUAAAGUCCUGUAUGAAAUGAUAUAAUAUUUUAGUUUUCUAUUAUGGCUUGUUUUCCUUGCAAAGUAUGAAUCUUGAAUUAGUUCCUGCCUCCCUCUUCUAAUUCUCCUUACCCAUUUCUAGUUGAAAGUUAAUUGAAAUUCCAUGUGAUUUUGUGUUAUAAUUCCAGUUCAUAAUCUGAAUGGAGACAAUAAAUUUGGAUGAAGGAGCUUUAAGCAGUGGGAAAAAUCCAUAAUAAUUUGUAAUUCUCUAAAUCUCUAAACAAUCUUACAUCUCUUUGUCAUGCCUUUCAAACAUAGUUGGUAUAACUAUGUUCAAUUGUCUUAGCUAUUGUUUAAUCAUUUUUAAUUUUUCAUUCCCCCUGCUCCCCCAAAAAAAAAUGUUUGUCUGAGCAAUGAGUCUUUCUCAAAAUCAAUUUCCAAGGCCAUUUUAUUUGAUUAUGACUUUGUGAGUAAAACAUGUUUGUAUUUGUUAGGGAACCGCAGUAACAAAAGUGAAAAUGGCUCAAAAGGAGGCCCAAGGGAUUGCUGAGAAGAGGAAAGGAAGAAGAGGACCUGGGAGUGUAAUUGGGUCCAGUGCUGCUGGUUGUGUAUGUGCUGUUCUAACAAUAUAUGGAGUUGGAGGAGAGGCAUUUACACGUCUUUGGCAACUUGGUUUUAUUGCUAGUUUCUGUACUAAGUUGAGUGAUACAGUGUCCAGUGAGAUUGGGAAAGCAUAUGGCAAAACAACGUAAGUAGUGCAUCUCUGUUUGUUAAUGUAUAGGCGCUUUAGAUUAACUGUAUUAAUAAUUCUCCUUAGUUCAUUCUAAAGAAAGGAUAUUUCAAAUCAAGUGGAAUUUAGAUCCCUUAUGGUUCUUGCUAUAUUCGAGCUCUAUUAUUGUCAUAUAUGCUGGUGAUAAAGGUCGCUUUGACAUCCUAUAUAGAAACAAAAUUUGUGAGUGUUAAUAUUGCCUCAAAUCUUUUUUUUUUUCUUCAAAGGUUUAUGUCAAUUGCUACUCUCUUUUUUUUUUACUGUUAAACUACACUUUAGAAUUGCAAAUAUAAAGUGUGUGAUGUGCCAAAAUGAACAGGUACCUGGUGACAAACUUUCAGAUUGUUCCUAGGGGAACAGAAGGAGCUGUCAGUGUUGAAGGAACUGUUGCUGGACUUCUAGCAUCUAUACUGCUUGCCACUAUUGGUUGUCUAUUGGGUGAGGUAGUACUUGCUAUGUACUCAUACUAUGUGAAUAAUUUGUUCUGCCAUUCAUGAUACCAUUUUUUUUUAAUAACAAGCAUUAUUGUGAUCAUUACAAAAUGUUUACACCUUGUAAGAACCUGGAAUUUUUUCUAGUCUCUGCAACAAUAGACUAAUUGGUGGGGUGGUGCCUAGAUGGAAUGAUUUUGCAGAUAUAAUUUGUUGAAGGUGUUUUUCAAAGGGAACUCUUAGCAAAAUAGCAGAUCAUGAUAUAUUUAUAAAUUGAUUUUGACAUCUCAGUUUAGGCGUGUACGACCUUUGUGAGCAUUAUUUUGCUGGGAACUUAAAUUUCAAUUUAAUAUAGUUCAGGUAUUACAAUUUGGUAAAUUGGAUAAUAUUUUCAAGGGGAAGGAGAAUUAAAUUAGUUGAAACCGAUUUUUAUUGUUAGUGGUUUUUUGUAUGUGAGUGGAUGAGGUUGUCUCUCUAGCCUUGCUGCAUCUUUAGCUAGGAUUUUCUCAAAAAUCUUGUAUAUAUCCCUAAGGUUAUGGUGUUGUUCAUAGUAUUGACGCCAUAACCUCUAUACACUUUCAAACUGAAUAUGAUCAACAGCUUCUAGAGAAUGCAUAAAUGAAAUAUGGGUAUUUGAAUUUAUAGAGAUGUUCUAAGCUUCUGUUUUUUGCUUUUUCAUUUAUCUUUGCAAGCAGAUAAAUGUACCUGAGGUAUUGAUAUGUGUAAUAGCAUCCCAGAUUGCUAAUCUUGGUGAGAGCAUAAUUGGUGCUGCAUUCCAAGGGAAAGAAGGAUUUCGUUGGGUAAGGAAUCAUUUGAAUAAUAGGAUGGUUUCUGUCAUCCUGUUUUCUUAACCAUUUUUUCUUAAAUUUAGUGCCUAUGUAUCUUCUAGAUUUUAGUGUUACCGAUGAAUCAGGCUUGAUUCUAUAUGAAUGUAUGGUUUGAUGUGGUAUAUCGAUGAGAUGAUUACAUGUAUAUCAUUUUGUGGACUCUCAUCAUGUUUGGAUCUGGCUGCACUCCUAAAGCUGUAGUGAGGAAGAAUUAUAUACCCACUGUUUUGGGGUAAAGAAGAUCGAAGAGUAAAUUUAGAGAGAUCAGCCUGUUAUAAAACUGCCUGCUAAGGAUUAAUUCUAGUCUUAAUUUUCAUUCGAUGAAAUCACGGUAUUGUGCAUGUAAAAGGCUGUUAUGUUGGUCUGAUUCUUCUUUUUGCUUUGAAGUAUCCAUGUUCAACAUAUAGUCACACAAGAAAUAUGGAGAUAUGACCUUCAAGAUACAUGAUAAACUUUAGCACAAAUCUCUAUCAGACACUUACCUGAAUUUGAGCGAAAUAUCUGGGUUGGCCAUAUAUAAAUCUGCCUAGGAUCUAUCAUCUUAGCAUGUUUAUAUGCUUUUCAUUAUAAGGCUGAAACUUGGAUUCUUUUACCAUAUUGAUUUUGGUUUUCAUCUUGCAGCUGAACAAUGAUGCUGUUAAUGUCAUCAACAUAUCCAUAGGCUGCAUUUUGGCAGUCUUAAUGCAACAACUACUCCAAAACUGGCAAAUGUAAGUUCACCCCAUCAUCUCUUUUGCGAUGUCAGGUAAUUAUUGCAGAGUUCAUCGACACUGCAAUCGACAUAUUGCAAUGUGGGGAAAGAAAAGAAGAAGAAGAAAGAGAAAGUCUUCAAUGUAAUGCAAGAGAUGAGCACAAAGGUGCAACAAUUAUAGCAAUGAUUUUGCUAACCUUGAAAGAUACUCAAAUGAUAUGGAAAAUCAUUAGCAUAACCAUUUGUUCCAUGAGUAUAUUUUAAAAAGGCUUCUCUCUUUUAUAGUCUUGGUAUUCAAAGAUGUAUUCCUUUUAUCAAUCUCCAGUUAGAAAUGAAUUAGAUGCUUUUUAAAUUGCAUUUCUUAACCAAAAUUAUUGGCUUUUUUUUUAUUGUUGUUGAGCCGCACUGGAUUUAUGGGUGUAAUUGAAGCACAAGCUUGACUUGGAACUUUUAUGUUCAAAGUUCGGCCCGGGCCCAAGCUUGAGUUCAAUUAAGCCAUUUGUGAAUAUAUCAACCAAUUGUUCCUUUGUAAAGACAUGUCUAGUUUGGACUAAACCAUCUUGGAUUUUUUUUACAAGGUGAGAGUCAAUCUCUAUAUGUUUCGUUCUCUCGUAGUAUUCAGGGUUGGUUGCAAUCUGAAUUGCUGCUUGACUAUCAUAGAAUAAUAUGAUUGGUUCUACUCGUUUAAAUCCAAGUUCCUUCAGUAGUCCAGUCAACCAAACUAACUCAGCCAUAGUUCUAUACUUUGCCUUUGCUGAAGAUCGUGAUACUGCAUUUUGUUUUGUUUUGUUUUUUCCAAGAGAUGAGACUUAAAACUUCUGGAGGAUGGUCAGGAUGGGUGUUUGGUUUACAAGGUAAAGAAAACGGUGAAGGUGGAGUUUGUGAGGUUUUCUUUUUACCUUUCCCUUUGGAGGAGGAUGAAGGUUGGAUCAUGAAAUUUUCUGGAAGUUUUUCUGGUGGUCUAGAAAGAAUGUCUGCAAGAACAUUGGUUUUCCCUUUUAUGUGGAGGACAUUCUGUCACUAAUCGCUUUGACAUUGGACUUGAAGCCCAAUUCGAAUCACAAUAUGCUACAAGUUAUGGAGAACCAACUACAGCACAGAAUAAACCUUGUCCUGGAUCCUUUUUAAUGUAUCUGACUAUUCUAAGAGCAGCUUUAUAAUGCGACUUCUUGGGUCGUUGCAUAAACUGACUGGAUGUUGUACCACAAACGUCAUAUCUAGCCUUGUAUGAGUCAAGUACAAAAGCCUUCUAAUAAGCCUUUGAUAUAAUGAAACAUCUGUCAAUACCUCAUCAUCAUGAUUCAUUUGCACCAUCUCAUCUUACUGGAGAUGUCAAGUUUUGAUUUUGUUCUAAAGGAGUGACAACUAUCUUUCCUCCCCCUUACCUCGUGUCUGAAAUUAAUUCAAGAGCAUAUUUGCGUUGAUUCAGUACAAUUUCAAACUGUGAUCUUGUGAUUUCAAUGCCAAGAAAAUACUUUGAGAUCACCUAAAUCUUUCAUUUUGAAAUUUUGAUGCACAGUUCCUUUAAGCUCAUUUAUAAGCUUGGUAUCAUUUCCAGAAAUCAACAAAUCGUUAACAUAUAUCAACAUGACAACCAGCUUAUAACCUUUCUUCUUGAUAAAACGAGAAUAAUCGUACUUACUUUGUGAAUAACCAUUUAGAAGAAUAGCUUUAGUAAGCUUUAGAUUCCACUGUCAGACUUAGCAAUUGACAUACUCUAGUCUCUCUUUGAUUGCGAAAAUCGUCUGGAAGAGUCAUAUAAACCUUCUCAUGUAAAUCUCCUUGCAUUAUAGGCAUCCAUUUGAAACAAGGGCCAACCAAACUAUACAGCAAGAGCAAUGACCGUGCAAAUUGUGACUUGCUUCGCAACAGGGGAAAGUGUCAUGAAAAUAAAAAACCUGCCUGCUGAGUAUAACCCUUCCUAACAAGUCUGGCUUUAAAUCUUUCAACCGAGCCAUCAGAGCUGUACUUGACCUUGUAGACCCAUAUGCAACCAAUGGGCGUUUUACUAGGAGGUAAAGGAACUACCUCCCACGUGACAUUUGAUUCCAAUGCUUGAAUUUCUUGAUCCAUGGCCUUUAUCCAAUGUUUAUCCUUAAUUGCUUCACUUUAGGUUUAAGGUUCAAUAAUAUGGGAAAUGGAGGCAGCAAAAAAUUGUGUAUGCAAAGGUAAAUGAGCAUCAGCUAUACAAUUAGAUAUAGGGUACUAACCUUUAUGGAGUGAAGAAGAUAAAGAAGAGCAAUUUAAAUCUUUCAUCCAUGUAGGAUCCUUAAAAGAACGAGUAGUGCGAUGUAAAGACAGCUGGUAAGGUAGUAGACUACGAAGGUAAUAAGGACUGGUUGGGAAAUGGAGCUGAAGAACGACAAGGAGCUAAGGAUGAACAUUUCAAAUGGGAUUUUUCCAAUUCAAAGCUGAAGUAGGUAAUCUGUUAACAAUAUAACAAGCAGCAAGGAUACACUCGCCCCAAAAUUUGGUAGGUACAUUAGACUGAACUUUGAAAGCACAUGCUAUUUCUAACAAAUGUCGAUGCACACAAGAACUUUGAUGUAUUAUGCCUAAGAAGAAAAAAAAGGAGUAUAUUCAGAGUUAAAGAACUCAGUACUUAUGACUUCCAAAAGUUUUAACAACAGUUGAAAAUUGCGUGUGAACCAAGGCUAUAAACUGUUUCAAAAUGACAAUAGUGUCGGUUUUAAGCUUAAACAGAUGAACCAAAGAAAAAGGAGAAUCCGCUCGAGAAUAACUAAUAGGAAAUGGCAAUCGUGUUUGUUUAGUAAGAGGACGAACAUGGCAUGGACUAAUAUAGUCACUGUUCCAAAAUGAAAGAAACAUGGCCAAGUCCGGCAUGCCAAAGGAAAGACUGAUCAUGAGAUGUCAAAAAGGAAGAAAUGGGAGAAGAUACAAAAGAUGGCAAUUGAGGCUGUUGAUGCACCAGAAUGUAAAGAUCAUUCUGUUCUUUACCAAUCCCCUUCACUUGUCCACUGCAAAGUUGCCGUAAAAGGCAAAAAUCGGGAUAAAAGGAUACAAAACAAUGUAAGUCUCGAGUUAACUUGAAAACGAAAAUUAAAUUGAAAUGAAAGUCUGGGACAUGAAGGGCAUUGGUUAACUUGAUAGAGGAGGACAAGACAUAGGAACCCAUGUGAGUAAUAGGGACGGAUUUACCAGUGGGAAAUUGGACAAAUGAAGAAUGAAAAGUAAAAGGAACAAGAGAAUCCAAAUAUUGGCAAUCAGAUAUCAUGUGGUUGGUGGCCCUCGUCUCCAAAAUCCAUUGGAAAGAUGCAGGCCAAGAAACCAUACCUGCCAUGUGAGCAGCUACUCCAACAGUUGAAGUGAACUCAAGACUGAGUAAAUUCAAGAUCAGUAGAUACUGUGCCUGAAUAAACACAGGUGCAAAUACUAUGGUAGCAUUGUUAGUCAUAGUUGACCUUUGUUUUGUAAAUUUAAAAUCAACAGGAUACCCAAUAAGCUUCUAACAAGUUUCCCGUUUGUGACCUUUAAUCUUUCAAUGGUCACACACAUCUUUCAAUGGUCACAGAAUACAAUGUUGUAGGUUCAGAAGGAAAAGAUAUGCCAGAAGAAUGUUGUCUUUGAGCUUCCUCUUGAACAAGCACGGAAUUAGCUUAAUUAACAGAAGGUAAGGGUUCCAUUAACAAAACCUGACUUCCAACAACAGCAUAAGAAUCAUUCAGGCCCAUCAGAAACUGAAAUAACCACUGUUGUUGAAUAAGUUGUUGAUUCAUGCGGGAAUUUUCACAAGAAAAAGAACCAAAGCAUCGUAAUCCCACAAAAGCUUCAAUCGUGUAAACAAAACUGAAACAGAGUAAGUACCUUGAGCAUGGGAAGCAAUCUCACCAUGAAGAACCAUCGACUUUCUCAUAUCGUUCUUGAAGUUCUUUCCAUGUUGACAAAAAUAAACUGUGCGGUAUAAUUAUAUAAUUAACGUCGCUCAAAAUUAACAUAAAAUUUCAAUAUUUGUAAAUUCGAAUAAAGAAGGUGAAAUUCAAUUAUAUUACUUUAUAUACUCAGUGCUUUCUAUGUAAAUUAUUUUCAUUAUUUUAAAUAUAAAAUGUUUAUAUUAACAUGAUAAAAAAUAAAUUAAAUUAUAAAUUAAAUAAAAAAUAAAAUUCAGUUUUAGUUACAUUCAAAUACUCGAUUUUUGGGGUUUUCUGCGCCCUAAUAGUAGGAAAAGAAAAUUCUCAUCAAACCCUAAAGCCCAUAAAAGAAAAAGUGAGAAGUUUAGUUGAUCUAUCAGAAUCUCAAGCACUCACCCUUAAUUUGCAGUAAGUUGCGAGUCUGCAAUUCUUUAGACCCCUUUUCUCAAUUGAUUUUCUUCUUUAACCAAUCGUUUCUCUCGCGCUCUGUUUCUUUUAGGAUGGCCGAUGAACAUAUUUCCACAGUCCUGGAGCAGCUACGACGAAUCAUGGCCGACGAAAGAUUUCGGAACUCGGAGUUUCAGAUAAACUUGCUUGUAUGGAGACUCGAAGCUUUUCAAUCUAUGAUUCUUUAACAUGGGGACGGGCUAUUUUCGGUUCGGCUAUUGGAGCGUGGGAUUACUGUUCAUGCACUCGAUCAAGUGCUAUAUAACAUAGAAGAUGUAAUUAACGACGUCUUACAUUUAGGAGUAUCUACUGAAUUAGCAGCAGCAGGCCUUGAGAAGUUUGCUUCUACUCAAUCAAAAGCAGCAUCAGCAGAAACAGCCACUCUUUACAUCUUGCGCAAGAGGUUGGAAGAAUUGGAGGAGGUAUUGAUUGGUAAUCCGCAUGAAUCGCAUCCCUUGCACUCUAAACGAUCUUUUUUUGUAAAAUUGUCAAAGUUAUAUGGUCUAGAUGUGGUUAAGAAAGAUAUAAUAAAUGUAAUUUUGGGUGAAAGUUUCAGGGAUAGUAGCGACAGCAUUAAAACCAUCAUUAUUGUUGGCAUGGAAGGAACGGGGAAAACAUAUCUUGCGCGGUGCAUUUGUACUGAUUGUCAAGUUCUGGAAAUUUUUGACAACAUAAUUUGGGUGAAUGUUUCGGAUGAUUUUGAUUUAGGUAAAAUUGCAAGAAAAAUUAUUCUGUCUCUUGAAGGUUUGGAGCAUGACUCUUUGCGUCUCCUAACAUUAGUUCCAUUGCAAAGUCUGUUAGAUAGAAUUCAGCGAAAGAUUGUUAACAAGAAAUCACUUCUUGUUUUAGAUGGUGUGGGGAGAUAUGAUUGUGAUGAUUGGGAAGCACUUAGAGCUGUUUUUCAACAUGGCAUGUCGGGGAGUGGGAUUCUAGUGACUACUCAUGAGCACUCGGUUGCAGGAGCAAUGGAAUCAUCUUAUAAAUUUUGUUUGGGAAAGCUGUCUGAUGAGUUGUGUUGGAUGAUACUUCGUGAAGUUGGAUUGAAUGAUGAUACUCUUGAAUAUGCGGUAGAGGAUAUAGGAAGGGAACUUGCAAGGAGGUGUGAAGGACUACCCUUUGCUGCAAAGGUUUUGGGAGAUGCUAUACGACAUUAUGACUUUGGAAUAAGAGGAUGGGAUGUUUUUCUGAGAAAUUGUAUCUGGAAAUCUCCUAGAAUACCCAAAUAUAUGUCUAAAAUUCUAUCACUAUCUUAUUGCAAUCUACCUUUGUCUGUAAGACGGUGCUUAUCGUAUUGGGCUAUCUUCCCCAAAAGCUUUGAGAUUUCAAAAACUCUUUUGGUGCAACACUGGAUGGCACAAGGUUGUCUGUACUCAUCUGAUAAUUUAGAAAUGGAACUAAAAGGUGAAGAGUACUUUAAAUGCUUAGAAGCUCAUUCAUGUUUCCAAUAUUGUACCAGAGAUGGUGGUAUGCUUACUUGUAAGAUGCAUAGCUUAGUACAUGAUUGUGUCCAAUCUUUGUCCCCAUAUGAUUUAAUGAUGAGGUUCGAGUCUGUUAAACAGCUGACCUUGAAUUUAUCUUCUUGGACGGAGGAGGUCAAAGUUGUUGGCACUCAUCAUUUGGUAAUGAUGAUUGCUCAAGGAGCUGGUUUUCCCAUGGACAUUAGUGGUGCAGAGAAAUUGAGGACCCUUGUUGCUGUUACUCAAGGGUGUUUGAUAACUAGUCAAGCAUUAUCUAACUUAUUUAAACAAUCCAAACAUCUGAGGUUAUUGGAUUUGAGCUUGACUAGUGGGUGGCAUAAUUGUUUUGGGCCAUCCGGACAAGGUAAUAUACUAGAUGAAAUUCCGGUGGAAAUCUGCAGAUUGAUUAAUUUGAGGUACCUUAGCUUGGCUGGCAGCAAAGUAUUGAAGAUAUUACCAGAAACAUUGUGUGACUUGCAUAAUUUGCAAUCCUUGGAUCUUACUGGUUGUAGUAGUCUUAGAAAAUUGCCAGAUGGAAUGGGGAAAUUAAUGAACUUGAGGUAUUUUUAUACCUGGUGUUGCUCUAGUAUAACUUCCUAUCCAAAAGGGAUUAGCUGCUUAACUUCUCUUUGAGAAUUAACCAAUGUCAUUGCUAGAGCUGAUCACAAUGAUGCAAAGGAAUUCACUCUUGGAGAUUUUGAAAAGUUGAACAACCUUUGUGGACAUGUUCGUGUGAAACUGGUAGGGAAUGCGAUGGAUGCAGAUGAGGCUAUUAGAGCUAACCUUUGGAACAAGAAGGAUCUUGACCGUAUCAGAAUAAAUCUGGAUGGGGAUAUAGGGAAAGAAAGCCAAGACGUUAUAAAGAAAGCAUUAAACCCGCCUUCCGACUUGAAUAUAGAGUUCGUAGGUUGGUGGUUCUAGUCCAGAAAUGUAAGGAUGCUGCAAAGCAACAGGUAGUCUCUCUGUCUCAUUUUCUCUUUUGUUGUAGCUUUGAUGGUUCAAAUUCAGUAUUUACUCCUAUGAUUCAUUCAAACCCAAAUUUCAGUUGUGUUAUAGUAGUUCUAGUUUCUGUUGUUAUCAUCUGAUUAGAUGGAAUAUUAUGAAAUCUCUUAUAACAUUACAAUGACAAAGAUAUCGGCUUGUCUAUCACAUGAAAUUUCUCUCUUGCUAAAGCAUGCUCUGAAUGAAUCACUUUAAAACGGCAAGAUAACUUAGAUUAUCCUUAUUUUCUUUUGCUGGACAUACAUAUCCCGUGAGAGACAUUGUCGUUAUCGGUGGUACUGUAGUUAAAGUUGGAGUAUAUUUUUAGUAUUUUAGUUUUUAUAUUAGGAUUUAAUCAGUUAUUAAGAUGGAUUUUUUCUGGAAAAAACAUGGAUACUUUUUUCUAAAAUUUUUUAUUAACUCUUUUGAAAUUUGUUAAAUUUUUAAUUAUUUUUAUUAGUUUUUGAAUUUUUAUGAAUUAUAGGUAGGCUACCACACGAAUUGAUCACGUCAAUAUUGUUAAAAUUUUAAUAAUCUUUUUAAUUCAAAAGAAAGUAAUAUAACUAAAUUGUAAAGGUUAAGUGUAAAAGUCAAAAUGACAAAAUAAGUCAACAUUAAAAGAUUAAAUUUAUCACGAUGCCUUUUUUAUAUACUCAUAAUUAAUUAUAAUAAAAAGUUAACUUUAUUCAGAUAUAUUUGUUAUUUUAAAUAAAUAUUCAGAAUACAACUUGAAAAUAAUCUCAUGUUUAUAAUUAUAACACGAAAACUUUACUUACUAUAUAAUGGAAGAGUAUUUGGUAUAUUAACAGUGUGCCUUUUUUUAUUGCACAAGUAUGUGUAAAAGAUUGAUAUAUGUCUUUAUUUUUUAAUAUUUUAUUAUACUUUCUAAGACACUUGUCAAUCUUUUAACUUUGCUUAUAAAAUUUAAAAAUUCCACUAAUAAUCUCACCUAGCAAAAUGGAUUAAAAACAUUUAAAGUAAUUUAGUUGAAUUAUGAUAAAAGGUCAAUGUAUUCUAAAAUGCUAAAUGGCAUAAAUUUGAGUUUGUCAAAUUCUCUAGCAUUGGGAGGUAAGUCAAAUUGCAAACUAAGUUGAAUAUUUUUUGGCUUUUCAGUAAUCAUAUUCAUGCUAAUAUUUUUAGAUUUAAUUCUCACUUUCAAUAUUAAAAGAGGGUUCAAAUGCAACUUGGAGUCAACAUGAACAUGAUACUUUGAAAACCCUAAAGGGCACUUGCACUCUUGUUUUGGAGGUGAGGUUAAGAAGACCUACAACAAGUUUUAAUAGAAUUUGAUAUAGUUGAAAAAGAUUCAGAGGAAAAUGGUACCAAAAUCUACAGUCGUGGAAUACGAUGACUGUAUUAAAAUAUAUGAAAUUGGUUGAUGGUUUUAUUUAUUGUCUCUUAAUAUUUUAACUAAUCAAUUAAGUAGUAAUGAGAAGGACAUGACACUUAAUCAUUAUAGUUUCUAGUUAAAGUUUAGGAAGAUGCAUUGACAUCAAUUCACUAAUUUUUUAUGAAAAAUGUUUUUAACCGGUUCAUAUCCCCAAUACCAUUGAACGUUGAAUCAAAUGGUUUUGUUGAUUAGAGAAAGACACUAAGAAAUGUAGAGGAACAUGUAUGCGUAAGAGAGAAUUUGAGGCACAUUUAAUAAGUUAACUUUGGAAAUUUUAUAUGUGGAUAAUAGCAACGAAGAAAGAGACUGUUGAGAAUGAUCAAACUUGGAGCAUAUGUUUAGAUCCAUGUGGAGGUACCUAUUAGGUAAGUGAAACAAGCAAUUGAAAUGAUGGAGAGUUUAGUACACCGGUAUCGUACUAUGAUAAUUUAUGGUCAUUUUUAAUUAAUACAAGUCAAAAAUAAUAAUAUUUAAUAAACCUAAAAUUAAUGGGCAAAUAGUGAUGAGUUAUCCUAAAAUAGAAUUGAAGAGGAUAAGGUCCUACAAUUAAUAAUAAGAAAAGUGAAGACUCUUUGAAAAGAUUAAGGAUGUACUUUGAUUAAGAGUGGUUAUAAAAAAAAAAAUUGGGGGGAAGGGAUAGAGUGGAGUAAGGAAAGUGGUGUGAUUGCCCAUUAACAUAAGUAAGAAAUAUGCGAAUGAUUGCCCAUUAACAUAUAGAGUAGGUAAAAUUGACUUGUUUUUCUAGAAAGACAAUAGAUAAGCCUAAAAAGUUAUAAAAAGUAAUUGUUAAAAUAGUUAAAAUGAGAGGAAAAAAUAAGAUAUUUUUGUUUAUGAGAAUUAAGUGUCGUGAGUCGGGACGAAAAGAUUAAUCAUUGUUACGACAGUAAAUACCUUGAUUACAACGAAAAAGAUAAAAUACCAUUUUACUUUAUAGAAAAUUCUCAUGAUUUUAUAAAAUAUACCAUGAAUAUAUUAAAUCAUAUAAAAAGCGUAAUUCUAUAACUCAUACCUAAUUUAAAUACAGGAUGGUAUUUAGAAUGAUUAUAAGAAAAUGCUUGUUCAUGAAUGUUGUGAGUUUUCCGAAUCUUGGGGACAAUGUACCCUCUGGCUCCCGUCAGGAUUCACCUGGUAAUUUAUAAAAAGGAAUAAACAAUCACUUGGUAACUCACAACUCACAAGGCAUAAAAUAUAAUCACGUCAAGCAGCAAAACACAAACCUUUUUUAAUAUUCCAAUCUAAUACAAGUGAUAAUAUCAACUCUUAGAGCCCUAACUCUUAAAGUAUCAGCACAUAAUUUUAACCACUUACUUUUAAUAAAUACCACCAUCACUACCAUUAUCACCAUCGACAGAGCCUCUCAAUUCAUAUGUCCUGCAAAAAAUGGUGUCAACACUAACAAAAAAACCAAAAUUAUAUCAUUAAAAUAUAUUUGUAUUUCUUAAAAGGCAGAUCAUUCAGUUUUUCUGGACAAGUUUCCCUAUGCAAUCUAAUACAAGUGAUAAUAUCAACUCUUAGGGUCUGUUUGAUUGACGGAAUUGAUUUUCCGGAAAAUCAUUUCCAACUUUUCCAGCGUUUGAUUGGCGGAAAACAUUUUCCAUUUGGAAAAUGAACUCCAAAACAAGGGAAAAUGAGUUACAUUUUAGGGAAAAUGUCUUACUCUUUCAAUUUCUAUAAUUUUAGGCUUUUCCCACCUACCUCUAAUUACACAAAAUAUUUUCAGAUUUAAUUUACUAAUUUUGGCUUUUACAAGGUCAAGAUUUGACUAUCCCAUCAAAUGUCCCAAAUUUAUAAUUUGGUCCCUCUUCUCUUUUCCAUGCUUCAAUCUAACCCCUUCUUUGCUUGUUUUUGAUUUAAAGUGCCCGAAUUUUGUUCCUGUCAAUAUUUAAACACAAAACGCACCAAUUACCAGGGAUUAAUUUGAGAAUAAGUCGAGUUGAACACGUAAAUUAUGCAAAAUGAACAAGUUAUCAUUGACCAUUAGUGCUACGUCAGCACAAACAAACGGUGUUAGUGCAGAGAUACCAACCUAGGUGACAGAAUAUAAAUUCAGGUACCAAUUAGAUAAAAAAAAAUCAUACACCAAAUAAAUACUUUUGAAUAAGUUCGAAAAUAGACGACAAAUUAUCCUUUCUUUUCUCUUUUUAUCUACCUGUAAUAUUUGAAUAUGAAAAGAAGUUACACAACUUUUCAAUUUCAAUAGUAGUUAUUUAACUUUGCCUAGUUGAGUUUUACAUAAAAUUUCUUUCUUUCGUUGAACAUGCUCUCAAUGAAUCACUUCAAACCCCCAAGAUCCUAAUAUUUUGCAGAACAUAUCAAUUGAGAGGCUCUAUCGAUGGUGGUGGUGGUGUUAGAAUCCGUUUAUGCUGGUGGUAGCAUUUUGUAUUUUUUUUUAUCGUAUUUAUUAAAAAUAAGUGGUUAAAAUUACGUGUUGAAAAUUUAAGAUUUAGAGCAUAUCGCCACUCGUAUUAAAUUGUAAUAUAAGCAUCGAUUGUAAAAAGAAAAGUUUGUGUUUUGCUUGUACUGUCUCAUAAAAGACAUUAAGUAAUUUCGUUGUCGUGUUUAUAUUUUAUGCCUUAUGAGUUACCAAAUGGUUGUUCAUUCCUUUUUAUAAAUUACUAGCCGAAUCCUCUUCAGUGAAGGAGCUUGAAAAUUUUUUGGGAGGGUCGGAAUUAAAUUGUAUAUUUGUAUGAUGGUAAAAAUAGAAUUUUAUAAUUUUAAUAGCUUAUAUCUUUAUAAUUUUUAAAAGGUUAAAUCAAAAUUGUAUCAUUUUAAGAGGUCAAAGUAUAGUUUUACUAUUACUAAUUUAAAAUUUUAUAAAUUAUAAAGGGCCUAAAUUAAAAUUUACUAUUUUAAGGGGGCUAUGGCGCCUUGGGUCUCCACUACAUUAUGCCACUGAUCCUCAUGGAAGACAGAGGCUACCUUGACCCCCAAGAUUUAGAAAAUUGCCAUUUGACCUUUUUAAUUUUAUAAAAUUUUUAAUUUAGUUUAUUAAAAUUCUGUAAAUUUUCAUUAAACAAUUUUUAAAACUUUUAAUUAGAUCUCUCAAAUUCUUUUUGGAAAUUCUUAUUUUCUCAAUUAAUUUUUUAAUUAAACUAUUCAGAAUUUUUGAUAAUUCUCAUUAAACCUUUUUAAAAUUCUCGAAAUUUUAAUUAAAUUGGUAAAAUUUGAAAAAUUUUAGUGAAGGGAAUCCCUCCCACAUAUUGAUCAAGAAAGCUUUGAAAAAAUAUUAAUUAAUUAUAUGUUUGAGAGAUUAAUAAUGUACUAUUUGGCUCCCAACAAUAAUAAUUCACUCUUAAUUUUGCUUCUUUUCCCUUUUUCUUUUACUUGUUUUUGUGAAAGAUAUCAUAAUAUAUGUUUUAAAUAAUUAAUGUAAUAAUAGAAAUAUUAAAAAAUAUAGUUAAUAGUAACAAUAUUUUAUACAAGCACAAUGACUUAUUCAAUUCUCCAAUUUUACAAAAAGAGACCAAUAAGUGAUUAGAUGUAAUGACAGGUCACAUUGCAUUCCCAAAAGAACUGCCUAAGUUCGAACAUCAUAAGUAAUAUAAAAACUUAAACAAAGUCAUGUAACAACCCAUAUAUCAAGUAUCACCAAAUACCAUUUCAUUCUUAUUCCAUUGUUUAGUUUCUAUUUUCAAUCAACUGAAUAUCGUCCGAUGGAACUAUAGCAAAACGGGCUCAAAUACACGGGAAUAAGUUGGUCACACAAGUUGACAGUAUAUUAGGGCUGCUCAGACAAGUUGACAUUACAACAGAAUUGCUCACAUAAACUGAUAUUAUAUCAAGGUUAUUCAUCUGGGCUAAACCUUCAAUAUGUAUAACCCGAGAAUUUGAGACAAGCCCAAGAACUCAUCCUAUGUAAAAGGGGUGCCAAACCCUAGUGCAUAGUAGGGUAUGUUGCCGCCCCUUAGUGUUUUGAAUAAAGGGGAACUGUAGUAUCAUAUUAAAACAAUACUAUUUAAUUACUCAUUAUUCAAGUAAAACUUUUGUACUAUUUUCCUAAAAUAGGAUCUAUGAAAUGAUUUAAUUACACCUAUCGCUGUUAUUUUAUCAUAAAAUAGUGGUAAUUUGUUUAUAAGAAUAAAUUCUAUAUUCUGAAAAGCUCAAAGUUUUCGAUUUCUAUAUAGAGAAUUAACUUUCUCACUAAAAGUUCAUGAAAGAUUGGUUGAACUGGGCAAAAAAAUUGGUCGAAUUAGAUGCGAUUGAACUGGUUGAACUAAAAUAUUUUAAUAUAUUUUUAUUUUUUAUGAAUUUUUUAUGAUUUAUUUAAUUGAAUUAGACUAAUCAAUCAAACCAAUUGAAUCAAUUGGAUCAACAAACUAGUAACCUUAUUGGUUUGAUCAUCGAUUUAGUUUUUAAAACCUUAGAUUUCGUCAUACCGUUUCAAUUAUUAUACCUUAUAAAUAAAAUAUAAAGUAAACCAGUGGUGAAAUUAGGGGGAUUGGCAAGGGCCCUGGCCCUCCCUAAAAUGAUUUUUUUUUUCAUAUGGACCCUCUAAAAAAAUUAAAAUUUUAAAUUAAUAAAAAUAAAAUUAUACUUUGGCUCCCCUAAAAUAUAAAAAUUUGAUUUAAUCUAUUAAAAAUUAUAAAGAUGUAGUCUAUUAAAAUGGUGAAAUUGUAUUUUUCUAUCGUAAAAAUUACAAUUUAAUUUUAGCCCAUAAUUUUUUUUUUCUAAUUUCGCACCUGAAAUAAGCUAUAUUUGAUUAAAUUUAUUAUUUUACCUUACAUACAAAACACAAAAUAAACAUUUAACUAUACAAAAUUAAUUGAUGAAUUGUUUUACUCAGUUGAAAGUAGAACAAAUAAUUGAUCCAAGAGGAAAGUGAAAUUUAUCCUUUUAUACGUCGAACAUUAGCGAAAAGGACAAAAAAGAAAUUUUGGGUUAUUUGGCUUUUGUUUCCUGCUGCUCUCCUCAAUCCAUUGACGCUGUUUCACCCCCUUUCUCUCGAUUUCUCAAUGUUUCUUUUCCUGUAAUUUGUUGUGAUUUGAAGUAUAAAUCAGGGAGAAGUAAAAGCUAUCAUAAAAAUGGCGGAGGCAAUUCUUACGGUAGUCUUGCGACAGAUAACAACAAUCUUGAGUGACCAAGCGGUAAAAGAGAUGACGAUGUGGGGAGACCGCGAGGCUGCUCUCAAAAAUCUUGAAACAUAUCUGAAAUCCAUCCGAUCCGUUCUCAAAGAUGCAGAGGACCUUCAAAUUACAGACGAUGCAAUCAAACUGUUGCUAGAAGAUCUGAAAAUUGUAAUUUAUGAAAUCGAGGAUGUGUUGAAUUUAUGGAGCUGUAAAGUACGGAAGGCAGAAUCUGUUCGUGCCAAGGUAAAUUGUCUACUUGAAUUCAUUGCAUAUCGUCGUAGUUCUGAUAGAAUAAAGAAGAUUUGUGAAAAACUGAGUCCAUUUGAGCUGAAAAACAAGCUGGAUCUGGGCAAGAGUAAAAUUAUAUCUCCUCUGCGGAACAAAGAAAGUACUAGCUAUUGUGAUCUAUCAAAAAUUAUUGGUCGAAGCGGAAUAAAAACUGAGUUAGUGUUCCGUUUAGUUUNNNNNNNNNNNNNNNNNNNNNNNNNNNNNNNNNNNNNNNNNNNNNNNNNNNNNNNNNNNNNNNNNNNNNNNNNNNNNNNNNNNNNNNNNNNNNNNNNNNNNNNNNNNNNNNNNNNNNNNNNNNNNNNNNNNNNNNNNNNNNNNNNNNNNNNNNNNNNNNNNNNNNNNNNNNNNNNNNNNNNNNNNNNNNNNNNNNNNNNNNNNNNNNNNNNNNNNNNNNNNNNNNNNNNNNNNNNNNNNNNNNNNNNNNNNNNNNNNNNNNNNNNNNNNNNNNNNNNNNNNNNNNNNNNNNNNNNNNNNNNNNNNNNNNNNNNNNNNNNNNNNNNNNNNNNNNNNNNNNNNNNNNNNNNNNNNNNNNNNNNNNNNNNNNNNNNNNNNNNNNNNNNNNNNNNNNNNNNNNNNNNNNNNNNNNNNNNNNNNNNNNNNNNNNNNNNNNNNNNNNNNNNNNNNNNNNNNNNNNNNNNNNNNNNNNNNNNNNNNNNNNNNNNNNNNNNNNNNNNNGCAUCUUUCUAACACCAACAACAUUACUGCCAUCCUAAUAAACCAUAAGUACCAUUUCCACUCCAUCAUCAUCAUCAUCUUUCUGUUUUCACUUCUCUCUCAGCUAUAUGUUACUUUUUGUUAACUUCUAUAUGUAUAUAAUCUAAAGAAGCCUAAGCUUCUUAUUUAUAUACAAGCAGAACAUUUUGCAUCCCACUUAUUCAAUAUAAUAUAAAAAUAAUAUAUAAUUAAUUAAUUCCUCAAAAAUUGGAUCAAUCUAGGCUUCUUAUUUACGUAAAUUCCUUAUUGCAAAAACUCUUGGUAGAAAUUCGUUAGGAAAGGAUGAAUGGACCACAAGAAUGCUUAUCAACUCUUGACUUUGGCGUCCAAUGCUAAAUUUAUUUUAAAAUUUCUUCAUGGAGACAAGAUGGGAUGACAAGAAUGAUAAGUUUUAAGUCAUUUAAGUUUACACAAUUUUAAUCACUCAUAAAAACAAGUAUUGACAUUCUAUUAAAGAAUUUAAACAUGGCUUAACGUUGAUUUUAAAUCUAAUGUUGAUGUUAAUCUUGAAAAAAGAAUGGCCAAAAAAAAUAUGAAAAGUGAGAGGUGGACAUAAAAUAGUGUAGUUGGGGUUAUAAAAUUCUUCAUGUAGACAUAAUAUUUUUUUUAUGCCUUUUUUACACUUAUAUAGAGUUAGUCUUGACUUUGCUUUAUUAAUAGAAAUUUUAGGUCUUCAUUUUUUGUUUUAUUCAUGGACAUAAUAUUUUCUUAUUUUUAUUUUAUGGUCUAUGAUCGAGGUUUAUGACUAUCCCCUUUCAACAACGUCGUCUCAACUGUUCAAACAUACACUUGCAGGUAAAAUAAUACUUUUUAAAAUCACAAAUAUUUAAAAUAAUACAUUGCAGCUAUAUAAAUGCUUUCUUGUUUAAGAUACUAAUAAAGUAAUUAACAAAGUAAUUAUUAUACCUAUAAUAAUUCAAAAUGCCACUUGUUAUCUAAUGAAGUAUAGGGGUGUAAAUGAGACAUCCGUACCCGCAAGCUAUUCGAAUUUGGCUCAAAAAAUUUUGAAAUUGAUUCGGUAAUUAUUGAGCCGAGCUAUAGGUCGAUCCGGAUUCGAGCUUAGUAAUACUUGACUCGAGUAGUUUGAGAGCCUUAUUGAACUUUUUAUAUUUUUAUAUUAUUAGAUUACAUUAUUGCUAUUAAUAUAUAUUAUUAACCCUAAGUUUAAUUAUUGAGGCGAGCUCAAACUCGAGUACAAAAAUUGAUAAACAUAUUUAAUUUCGAGCUUAAAAAUAUAUGUUCGAUCGAGCAUCAAGCUUUGAAUUUCAAAUUAAACUUGAGUUUAACAGUAUUGAGUUCAAAUAGAUUCAAUUACACCCUACAAUAAAAUAUACCAACAAAACCUACAUUCCAUCUUUGCUAUAAAUUUUAUGUAUGUGUGUGUUUAACGUGAGUUCCAUCUAUGUCCAACUUGAUGACGAUGAAAGUUCCUAUGGUGUAAAAAGUUUUAGUUAUGUGGAAAAAUAAGGCCUUCUCUUCACACGUUUAAUAUGCUUACUUGUGUCGGUCAUUUCGAUCUUCACAUCAAUUUUCAAAAAGUUGGAAAACUUAUGUCUGCUUUUAUGAUUCUUUUAUGUGUGUGUUUAACGUGACUUCCUUGUGAGUUCCAUCUAUGUCCAACUUGAUGACAAUGAAAGUUCCUAUGGUGUAAAAAGUUUUAGUUAUGUGGAAAAUUGGUGGAAAACUUACGUCUUUUUCACUUGCUUUUAUGAUUCUUUUUACAUGAUAUUACUAUAUAAUUAAAUUGAAAUACUGAUAAAUUUGAACCCAUAUGAUGUAAGUCUAGGCAUCAUCUAAUUUAUUGAUAUUUAAUUAAUUAAUAUAUAUACUUUCAAUUAUAAGAAUUGAAACAUAACUUUCAAGUCAAUUGGAGUAUGCCCCUGUUACACGUCAAAAGAAGUAGAUUUUGAACUCAACAUGAACCUGUGAGAUUUGAUGCCUAAAAUAUAGGUAUAAGGUUUCAAUUCAUGGAAAUGUUGGAAAUCUUGGAAAUUUCUUAGUCUCCUCUCUUUGGAUGUUUUUGAACAAAAAUGUUUUAAGUCUCUUCCGAUGCUAAACUUCUGAUUGGUCGUCGGUUCACUGACCCUUUGGUACACAGCAAUAUGAAGCAUUGGCCAUUCAAGGCCAUUGCUGGUCCUGGUGAUAAGCCAAUGAUUGUACUACUAUAGAUUUGAAUAUUUGUACACAUUUGAUCGGCUCUUCGUAAAUUUAAAUCUUACAAAUUCGGAUAAUAUUUGAACUUUGAAUGUAUGUUUUGUUGGUGAGAAUAUAAAGUUGAUAAAGAUUUGGUAAAUAGAGUAAAAUAUUAUUUUUAUUAGAAAAAUUAUUUGGUACACUGCCAAUCGAGGUAAUUAAAACAUGUCAUUAUAAAUAAUAAAAUUAUGAUGACUCAAAUAUACGAACACGUCAAAAUUUAUGUACAACGAAUUAUUAACAUGUAAAUGUAUAAUACGGUACGCAAAAAUAAGAUAAUUGCUUGUUUUUUUAAUUGAAUUGUUAUAACAUAUUAUACAAAAUACAUUGUGACUUAAAGCAUAAAAUGAACUUGAUAUCAAAAUAUUAAAUUUUUUUUAAAAUUCAAUGAUACGAAUAAUUAUGUAAAAUAUAACAUGAUGCAAAAUAUCUUGAGAGGAAAAGAGGAAUAAAGAAUUGCAUUAUUUGUGAGGUUUUAAAAUAUUCCAGUUUUAGAUUCAAUUUUCUAGUAUGUUUGGUUUAAUUUUACAUUAGAUUUCCUUUUCAGUAUGCACUAGUGAACGCUUAGCAGUCAGUUUAAUUUAAUUCAAAGAGAUAUUGCAUAUACAUAAUAAUGGAUUAUGAUUUUACAUUAAAUUUCAUAGAAGAAAAAGAAAUAGAUGGUUGAAAAUGAUAAAACCAUAAGAUAAAAGAGCUUUUAUUCAAAAUGCAAAAAUCAACAAAAUAUUCAUUAUCGCUCAACUUAGCAUAAUUAAACAUUUAGGUGUGGAAACAAGUCACAAUUUGAGUAGCUAAACACAUUGCUUGAAAAUGUGAUAAGUAAGAAAAUUGCCCACAUUUGAGUAGCGACAUGUGGUGAAGCAUUUCCCAACGAGAGAAAACUAAGCUCUUCACCAGUAUGGAUUUAUGUAGAGGACAACAAAAAUUGUCAACAACACAACUACAUAAGAAACCAAAAAGCUCACAAAAAAAUCAUAAGUAUCUAUCAAACCAUCUUCUCCUUUAUCUUCUGAUACAAUUGAUAUCGCUGAUGGUGAAUCGGUUUUGGAACAACUUUUAUGCAAUAUAUCUCCACAACGAAAAGGAUUUCCCUCAUAACUGUUUUCAAUAAAGGUCCCAAAUUGAGCUUUUGGUUCGGGAAUACUACCUGACAAAUUGUUAUAUGCCACGCUGAAAACCUCCAAAGAGUUCAACUCUACCAAUUGAUUGGGGAUUUCACCACACUCAAGUUGUUGUAAGAAAGGUCCAAACUCUCAAUGUGCUGAAGUUUUGAGAAUGAUGAGGGUAUAACUCUGGUCAACUUAUUGUGUGACAAGUUUAAAGAAUGGAUUUCACUCAAGUUCCCUAAUUUUGGUGGGAUAUGACCAGUUAAGUUUUUGCAAGAUAAAUCAAUCCCAAUAAUAUAUGAAAGGAUGUUGCCCUUGUACGAAUAGAACCCACUCUUUGUUGUGAACUCUAUUACUUCUUCUAAGUAGCUGUCAGGGUUGUAAGGAUUUAUACCCCUUUCCCAUUUUCUCAUCACAAUGGAUGUUGAUUCAUCCUUUUCUAUAAAUGGAAGAUAGAACCCAGUUGCUAGACUCUCUUUCUCUUUCAGUGGAAGAGAUAAAUUUCCCAAACAAGAAGGUAUAGGACUAGAAAACAUAUUUUGAGAAAGAUCUAUGAUGCUUAAAGAAUGCAACUUGCAUAACUCAAUAGGAACUUUAUCAUGAAAAUGAUUAUCUUUCAGGAGAAGAACACUCAAAGAAGAAAGCGUGUAAAUCCAUUUUGGAAUACUACCUGUCAAAUUGUUUCCUCUAAGAUCUAAAGUCACUAUUGAAGAGUUAUUAUAAAAAAGCAAGUGAUAGUGUGCCUCUCAGUCUAUUCCCGUGGAGGUGGACAUGCUCUAUGUAUGGUGGAUUAAAACAUGACGGUAUAGAGCCAGAUAAAUUAUUUUGAGAAAGAUCCAAAAAUUCCAACCUAUUCAACUUUCAAAAUUCCAUUGGAAUAGAACCUUCAAAACCAUUGUUGGACAAAUUUAAUCUCCACAAAAAUGAUGCAUUCCCUAUCCAUCUUGGGAGCUUUCCAUGCAACUUGUUACUGAGAUCAAUUUCGCUUAGUGAAUUUGGAAACUCAAAAAGAAAUGUUCACACAAAGUUUUUUCCAACAUAUGUCUGUCAUUUGUGGGGUCUUGAAUUUAAUAUCAAUGGUUGAAUUUUCAUAGCUAAUAUGUGCGCAAAAGGCCUAGUGGGUGGAAUUUUAUGUCAGGAAAGCGUUUCUACAAUGACAUAAUUAAUUGCAUUACUUUUCAAAGAUUGACUAUUGACUUUGGUGAGCUUAUUAGGUUAAAUUCUGCUGCUGGUCACUGUUCUUUGUGAAAGUUGUAAAUUUAGUCUAUUUACUUCAAUUUGAUCAAUUUUAAUCCCUAUACAUUUUGAUUUUUAAAAUUUUAGUUGUGACCCAAACAAUAGAGUUAAAUCAAUUUAAUUAAAACCAAUUACUAGUCCUAUAUUAUGUGUACAAUUGUUGAUUUAGUCCAUACUCUCCAAUUGGAUCAUUCUAAGUACCUAUAUUUUUCAAAUUUUAAAAUUUCAGUCUUGAUGCAAAUGACAAUCCUUAGUCCGUUAACUAGAUUUUUAGUAACAUAUGAAAAUAAUAAGAUGAUAUGACAUUACAAAUAUGAUAAUAUUUUUGCGUUAAAUAUGUCAACAAUGACAUAAUUAAUUGCAUUAACUUUCAGACGUUGACCAUUGACUUUUGCUUCAACCUUGAGCUUAUAUAGCCCCUACAAUAAUUUAGGUUAUGGAAAUAAUCUUACAAUUAAUGCCUGAGAAAUUAUUAUAGAUCAAUUUAUAGUUUUAAUCCCUAUAAUUACUCAAUUGAAUUGAAGAUUCAGAUUUUCUUAUUUAAUUUGAUAUAUUUUCUUCUCUUAUUAAUGUUAAUGUUAUGGAUUAGUUUUUUUAAGACAACAUUAUUUUAUUCAAUGAAUAAUAUCAUACAAUUCGAGGAGAAAAUAACAAACACUCGUUGUACUCGUUAAAGGACAAGUUCCAUCAACACAACAAAACCUUUAACUUCAACAUUAAUAGAACAUUAUGGCAUGUUGAAAUCGGCUCUGUCACAACUCAAGCACAACAUAUCAGGAGUGAUUACAAGCACUUAAUAUGGUAAGAAAAUUAACCCCGGAUGGUCCAAAGCGGUGGGCAUAAAUCAGCAAAAGAACUGAGCAUCCACCAAACUAGAGGGGAUGCGGCGACAAAACUAACCCUAAAAUUACUCUCAAAAGCAAGACUAAAAAGCGUACUACAAGAGUAGACAAAAACUUCGAAAAGUAAAGACUUAUUAAACAAUGGAAAAAUAAACAAAAAAAACAUAUAAAACUUAAGAUAACAUGAGUCUAAACCGAGUCAUGAAAUUAUUUAUUAUUUUGAAACUCUCAAAACAUAAACAAAUUAAGAAGUCAACGAAGAGGUACCCACUUUCUAAAAGAAAGUGUUGGUGGUCGGUGGUGUUUCAAUGAUGAUAGGCAUUGUCACCUGUUCAUCACAACUUGUAAAGAUAACAAAAAUACCCACAAAAUAAAUCUGUAAAUUGAAAAGAACGAAGACUCAUGGAGUGAAUGAGAAGAAGAAAAAUAAAAAGGGUUAAUAGAGACAAAGCAGGGCGGUAACUAGUUCAGAGGCUAACACCGCUGCUAGGCUAAAAAAAGAAGAAGAAGCAAACAUGUUAUGGAUUAGUUAAAAUAACUAACAUCAUUGAAAAUUUCAUUACUUGGCUGAUUUGGAUUUUUUUUUUUAAAAAAUUGAAACUAGAAACCAUAAAUGAUCUAACAUUUAGAAACCAUAAAUUGGGUUCAAUUGCUUUGCUGUCCAACUCCAUCCAUCUAAAAUCGCAAGGAUGUACCCAUGUUCAAUAUGCAGUACAGACCCAAAAAUUGACCAUAUAAUGUGGCUCAAGAGAAUUUUCGAAUGGUUUUAAAGAAUUAUGAGAACACAAUGAAUAAAGUUAAGGCAUCAUUUAUUCAGCUUGCUAUAAUGCAGGUCAUUCCAAUAAAGAAGCAUUUUUUAACUAUAUUUUCCGUUACCCCAAUAACAAUGGCACAGAAUGUUCUCCGAUGAACAUAGAACUCACCAUUUUUAGGAACACGUGUAGUUGAGGAUGAGAAUUCGGAUCAACUGUAACUUCAAAUGGUGGAAUGAAAACAUUGUCCAGAAUAUUCUGAAAAGAUUUUUCAAUUCCCAUUUGCUUGUACACAUUAUACAAUCGUGGUGACUGCAGAAUUAAGUCAAAAUCAAGUGAAGAAGGUUACCUUUGACUUGAGAAAUAUAUCACAGAGAGAGAGAAAGAGAAAACAGUAAUCUGGAAAGAUGAUGCUUAAUAUGGACAUGAUACCCUAGAAACCGAUCGAUCUUAAAUUUUAAUUUCUAAAAUAUUAUUAGCUUGUGCAUACUUUCAAAUACUUUUCAUUAGAGUUACCAUAAGACUAAUUUUUCCAAUUUUAGAUGAUUCAAGAAACUAUUUGGGGGCAAUUCUUAAAUAAACAUGUCCAAACAGUAGUCAUUAACAAGAAAGCAUCCAAGAAAACCAGCAGUUAAUACUUAAAUUAACAUUAUCAAAUGGAGAUGUAAAGAAGAAAGAAUCCUACUGCAAAGCUAGAUAGCAGGAGAAUCACUAGAAUGAAGAGAAAUACUAUUGGCACUAUACCUGGAUUAACCAAACAGUAGUCUCACUAUAAAUUUCAUUGUUAAUAAACCAACUUGCCAAACUGGUCCCAUUCACUUUGUUUCCUUCCAUAUAUGGACACCCUGUACUCUGCCAUCUAGAAAAUAUAUAUAUUAUUCAGUGUAGUCAGAGGCGCAAGGAGCACUCUAGGUGCUAGAAUCCUUUUAUUGUACAAGGCACAUGGCGCACAAAAAAAAAAAAAAACUUGCUUAUGUUAAGGCACAUGUAUGCGUGUUUUGGUAUGUCCAUGUCUGUAUAUAUAUAAGCCGAAGAUAUAUAAUUAUAAUAAUAAACUAUAAAAGUGCUCCAGUCUGAAGUACAGAACAUGCCAAAUUUUCUUUCUUUUGUCAACCAUAUGCAUAUUUCCAUAUGAUGCCAUGCCUGGUGUUGAAUACUCAAAUAUUGAGAAGUUGAGAGUUCGAUAUUAUCCCUUUGUUACAAUUAAGAAACAAUUAAAGAGAUAGUAAAGAGAACUUCAAUUAGAAGGCCUUUUCCCCCUACAUGCACCAGGCAGGCGCUUAGCCUGAAAAGGUCAAAGGCCCUUUUACUGUCUGGUGAUAAGGCAAAAAACAUUGGACAAAGUUGGUGGGAGGAUAGAAUACUAAAAGAGCCCAAUGUUGUCACUUUUCUAAAGUAAGCUCAUAUGCCUUUUUUGUACCCAAACAAUAUCUUACCCUUUAAUUUGUACCUAAAGAAAUUAUUUCUAAUAGAAAGUUUACUUUUGUUAUGAUCAAUGCUGGAGGCCAAAACUGAUUUGGGCUAAGGAAUUGGUGGUGAGAGUUGGAAGGCAAGAAGAAAGAAAGUUCUUUUGAGUGUUAUAUUUUUCAAAAAAUACAAAUUGUUCAUUUUUUUUACCACAUCAUCAUGCCAGGUCAGCUUCCAUGUGGAUAAAGAAAAUUUUGGCGGCAUUGAAACAGAGGCUUCAUGGGCUUUUAGUAAUUUAGCCCUUGGAAGGAAUAUGACCAUCCAAAAAAAGGCAGUUGAUGCUUUAAGGUCAAUUAGCCGAAACAAUAACAACAAUUCCUAGGCUUCAAUAAAAUAAUUUAGACAACAAAUAAAGCUUGAAGGUUGAGUUUUGCACUGCAGCAGCAUUGGGCUUUACAAGGUGAAAACCCACAUUGCACAAAAAUAUCAAAGUUUCAGAUCUAUCAUAAUUUAAAAUUCUAACUAAACUAAACGCCAAGAAUGCUGAAUGCCUAAUCAAAAAACAUAAGAUUAACCCAAGGACCUAAUUGGGUAUGCUAAAAUUUGUCUUGGAAUGAAAUUAAUAAUAUCCUUACUAUUUCACUUUUUUUUUCUUCAUAUGUUUGGUGUGAGCAUGAUACAGAUUAGACUGAUUUUAAAGUAAAAGUAAAACGAUACCAAACCUAAACAUUUUGGUUUUUUUUUAAUUUUUUAUCAGAGCCCUGUUUGAUGCAUUUUUAGUUUUGUUUUCUAAUAACAAAUGGAAAGUUAAUUAAAAAAAAACCCUAAUCCAAUGAGUUCUUUUAUAGAUAUAAGAUAAGUCCUGCAAAGUUUUUGUUUUUUAGAAAUAAAAUUUUAUUUUUGUUUUUUAAUUCUUCAUACCUAUUUUAAUAUCUAAGUUCCGGAUUCCUAACUGCCCUUUCAAUUAUAUAGUAUUCAAGAUUUGAACUUAUAUUUUUCUAUAAAAAUAUAAUGUAUUUUAUUAUUGUAUCCUACAUUCAUUAAUACUUAGUAGAAAUAACCUAAUAAAAUGAUUUUUUUCAUAUAUUAAUAGAGAUAAGAUUCGUGCAAAAUUGUUGGUUGAAAAUUCAUUAGGAAAGGAUGAUUGUACGAAUGUACCAUCAUUAUAAGUGAGCUCAACGAUAAGCCUCCUAUCAAUCACCAGUGUGCAGAAAACAUUUGAAAUCGAAACACCCGUUCAUACAUCAUACAUCAUCAUAAGUGAGCUCAACGAUAAGCCUCCAAUCAAUCACCAGUCUACAGAAAACAUUUGAAAUCGAAACACCCCGGACAUCUCCAACAAAUCUGCCAUAACGUUAGCAUCUCUUCCAUUUUUUCUAAACAAAACCUCACUAAGCUCAUCAAAUGUGCCAAUAUUUCCAAGGCCUAGAUUUCUCAUUGAUACACCAAGAAAGCUCGACUAUGGAGUCGGAUUCAACCAUAAGCUUUCAGUCUAUAAUCCACUAGGAAUCCAAAAAGAAACACUCUCGAACACCUAAAGAACCUGAAACAUAGCAAUGACAUGACCCUUUGAAUUUCUAAGAACCUCACCUCACCACGUCGAGCUAAGAUUACCUAAUGUCGAACCUUCACGGUUAAACUUUUACCAGCCUUCACCUUACUCUUGAUAUGAUGAUUAUGGAUACUCCCUUCACAAUCCCACAAACACUCCCACCAAAUUGACUCAACAAAAUUUGCACCUAUAGGUUUUCUGUUUAUAUUUGAUUUUGUUCACACAUUGCCUAAAACUACUCAUGAUCCCUCUCCAACCUAUAAAUACGAGGAUAAUGCGCUUCAACGCGCUCAAACCCACGUCCUCCUACAUUAGCAACAAUACUCAUGUCAAUCGAGUUAAAACACAAUCAAUAGAUUUUUUUUAAAAAAAAUCUUUAAAUGUUAUAUUAUUAUAUAAGAAUUUGAAACAUGACUUCCGUAGGUUUUAAAUCUAAUGUUGACACUAAUCUUGAAUAAGUCAUUCCACUCCCAUCUUAACUAAUGGCCAAAGAGAUAUCAAAAGUGGGAGAUGGCCAUAAAAUUGUGUAGUUUGGGUUAUAAAAUUUUUGGGCAAACUACAUAUAUUAUCAUUUAAUUAUAUAUUUUUUUCAAUUUAAACACUUAAAGUAAAAAAUUUAUAAUUUAAGCACCCACAUUAUAUAGUUUAGUUAUUUUGAUCACUCCAGUUAAAAUAAAAAAUGGCAAACUGAAGCGACAAUUAAAAAAAUGUAUAAUAACAAAUUUAACCCUCAAAUUUUAUAUAUUAUAUCAAUUACAUAUUACAACUAAUUUUAUAAUUAUUGAUAUUGAAUAUGUCCCUCACUACGUUAGGGAUUUUUUUUAUAAUUUGUAUUUAAUUAAUAUUUAAAAUUAAUUUCAAAAUAUGUGAAAAUUUUAUAAUUAUUUGGUGUUAGUCCCUUUAUUAUACCCAAAUUUAGGAUUAAGCCCCUAUAUUUUAAUUUUGACAUAAUUUGUUUCUUUCACUUUUAUAAUCUCAUUAAUUAUUUCAAGUAACUAACACUUUUAACAAUAUUGCCAAAUAAAAUAAUGUCAUAUUUUUUUUUCUUAAAGCCAUCACUUCUAACUAAAUCAUGACUUAAUCACUUUCUAAUUAAUCAUACUAACUUAGAUUUUUCUUUUGUUGGAAUCAGUACGUUUAAGGAAAACCCACCUUAACAUUUGUAGAUGUCUUCAACAAUUUCCUAAGCACGAUACAAUAAAGCUUGGUGUGUAUAAUUUUGUUUUAUGGAAGCUCCAAAUUAUGUUGAUUCUUGAAUGAUACGGUCUGCAUGGGUUUGUUUUGGGUGCUAUUAGUGUACUAGCACAGUUUGUAGAGGAUAAAUAUGGGAGAUUAGUAGAAAAUUCUGAUUAUGUUUUACAUGUGCAACAAGAUAAGCUAUUGGCUUCUUGGUUACUUUCAACUGUUAGUGAUGAAAUCCUAGCCUAUCUUACUAGUGCUCGUACUAGUUAUUAUAUGUGGGAAACUAUUGAAAAGAAGGGUUGCGACUAAGUCCACGGUAAAAUUGUCCAGUCAUGUGUUGUAUUCACAGAAAAAGGGUCAUUUGUUUGUUAAAGAAUAUUUGUCUAAGAUCAAGUCCAUGUGUGAUAUGUUGGUUGCAACGGGUUGUUUGAUUUCAAAUCAAGAAAUGGUUAGCAUCAUUCUUGCAAGGUUGCCAGUUGAGUGUGAAUCAGUACGGGUAGUAGCUUCAGCUACUGGUGUGUCACUUGAUCUGUUGAUUGAGAUGCUGCUUGAUUGUGAAGCUCGAAAAUUGAGUUCUUGAAUAGUGUUCUCGUACAACCUAACAUAGCUAGUAAACAAGAUUGUGAUGAGGGUGAUCGGACCAAGGGUUCUGAUUAUAACAGUGGCUAUCAAGGGAACAAACAGACAUAUAUAGGUGGUUUUCAAUGCAAUAGAGGUUCCAUCGAGGUUGAGGCCGUGAGGGUUGUUUUUCUAACAAUCGGCCCCAAUGCCAGUUGUGUGGUAAAAUUGGACACAUUGUCCAAAAGUGUUAUUACCGUUUUGAUGAAAAGUUUUGCAGGUAUUGCUAGGAUGGUAAUAUGGUAUAGUGGGCUGCAUCUUGAUUGUUUGUUUCUCAUGCUGAGGCUAUAAUUUUAAUCAUACCUAUUAUUGUUUCUUGUGUCCUGCAAUUUCAUCAUUUGCAGGCUGUUUCACUAAUUGCAUCCUAUUUACAAGUUCCCUUGUGUUAUCCUCUGCGCUUGGGUGGUUCUCGCUCAUAUAUUAAUGACCAUGCGUCUUCAAUAGACCAUGCAUCUUCUGAUUUGUCAUUGGAUACAACACUUUCAGCAAAUGUAAAGCCGGUAGAAUUUCCGCUGUUUUUAGAAGGUCAAGACACGACAAGAGCAGCAUAUGCUGUGUUCUUGUUAAACAAGGUAAGCUUUUGCAUAUUAGUAAUUUUUUUUUCCAAGAUGAAUUAUUCUCCUUUGGCAUUUUAUAUUAUAUAAUUAGUCACUACAAAACAUAAAUAAAUAAUAAUACUCCAUUUUUACAAUAAAAAUUCACUAAAGAAAAUACAUUUGAAGUCUAUCAUUGCUUUUUCGAAUAAGAGUCGGUCAAGAAAGUUAUGCGCAAAUACUUAUAUCUUUAUUUCAGAUGCUUUCAAUUCUAUUGUCACUUAAAUCCAAGUACUUUAAAUUUGUCAAAUUAUUCAAUUUUGAAAUUCAAUCCCAAAUAUUGAUCAAUUAUAUAUAUUCAUGAUAUGAUAAAAGCAAAGACAUCUUUCAACAUUAACUUUCCCUUAAACAAAAAUUGGUUUUAAAGUAAAAAAGAAACAUAUAAAACCAGUCUAGCUUGAAUAUGAAUCAAUAUAUAAACACUAUACUUAUACCUUGGUUUGAGAUGCUUUCAAUAUUGUUGUCGCUUAAAUACAAGUAUUUCAAGUUUGUCAAAUUAUUCAAUCCCAAAUAUUGGUUAGUUAUAUAUGAUAUGAUAAAAUCAAACUUGAACAUACAUUGAUUUUUAAAGUUGAAAAUUACUUGUUAAUUUUUUUUCUUUCUUACCUAUAUGAAAAUUUUACUAAAGUAAAAGUUGAAUUACAACGGAUAAAAAGAAUGGAAAACUAGGUACCAAGCCUAGAAGACCAUCCUCAAACUCCACUAUACAAAUAAAAACUACUCAAACUCCACUAUACAAAUAAAAACUAACACCGGACCAAACUUAAUUUACCUCUUAGAUGACUUGAUCCUUCAAACUGGUUGUAUGAUAGAUCUAAAUACCGGAGAGAUGAAAGCUCACUCAAAGAUAACAAAAUGCUAUCAUUCAAGUAAUUGUAACUUAAGUCAAGGAUCUCCAAAUUACUCAAUGUGAAUGAUAGCUUUCCAAAGCCUGUAGAAGUGUUCUUUUAAACAUAUACAAGCAGUUAGUGACUUUUCUUCCAUAAAAUAAAAUAUAAGUAAUUGUAAAUUAACAAUGGUGAGAAUAGUGGAAUAGUAAAAGAUAUAAUUAAGGAAAAAAAAUAAAGGCACGACCUUCAUUUUCAAGGUUACCACCUAUGGCAUUUCCCGACAAAUAAAGUCUCUUCAAUUCCUCAAAAGGAAGAAACAUAGAGGCAUUGAGAUACCAGACAAUGAGAUUCCUAUUAUCCAUGCCGUAUUCCCAAUUGUCUUCCCAUUUUGUAGAAAUAAGGGAGAGUUGUAUGAGUCUCCUAGUGGUGGUGUUACACUCAAAUCCUUCCCAUUUACAACAAUCUGAACCCUUCACCUCAACCCAACUUUGCAAUGGAUUACGAUAAACGAAGAAAGGCUUGAGAUGCAAGAGAGCGAUUCUCUCAUGCUCCAAACAAGCAUCAGUAGUACACCAUCUGCAUCCUUCUAACACCAACAACAUUAUUGCCAUCCUAAUAAACUAUAACCAUUUCCACUCCAUCAUCAUCAUCUCUCUGUUUUGUAUACAUAUGGACUACAAUUCAAGUUUCAUGCUUAUAAUUAUACCAAAUCAAAGUUCAUGUAUCAAAUUGCACAUUAAAUCAAAAUUUAUGUAUACAUUUGAUAUUUAUCUCAUUUAUGGGAGAUUAACUUUCUAAUGGUAUUGUUUUGUUUACAUUAAUCCAAAUAAUAGGAAAUGAUGAAUUAGUUUAACGCAAAUUGUAAUUCUAUUAAUGUUUCUUCUCAAACUUUUGGUUGCUCUUAUUUACAUGUUUUAUUAAUUGAUAGAUUUAAAUUCUUGGAAUAUAUUCGGUUAGAAUGAAGUGCCCCGAAUCCUUAUUUAAAUAAAAUACAGUGUUAAAAUAAAAGAAAAGUAAAAUCCCUACAGAAUUAUACUUCUUUUAUUUUAUUUUAGAAUAAGGCUUUUUAAAUCUUAUUAAACUCCAUCUAUUUGAUAUUGAUUAGAAUAAAGAGUUUCACUCCUAUUAGAAUAAAGUUUUACAAGCCUAUAAAUAGACAUAGUCUACUCCUCUUGUAAUUAAUUCAAAUUCGACAUAGUGAAUUUUCUUCUCCUCUGCCCGUGGUUUUUUCCCGAAAGGGUUUCCACGUAAAAUUUGUGUGUUCUUUAUUUUUCUAUUUCUAUUUUCUUUGUGAUAUAUUAUCAUUACCGACAUUUAUUUUCACAAAUUGGUAUCCGAGCUUCUGGGUUGUUCAUCGCAAUCACUGUAAUGACGUCUUUGAAGUAUGAAAUUCUACUGUUGGAUCGCAACACCAGAUUCGCAUUUUGGCAGAUAAAGAUGCAGGCAGUUCUUGCACAGAUGGACUUAGAGAAAGCCCUGCUAAGGUUAGAUAAGAUGCCUUCAACAUUGAUGGAGGAAGAGAAGAAGCACAAGGAUUGAAAGGCGUUAACACAAUUACAUCUGCAUUUGUCUAACGAAAUUUUGCAGGAUGUGAUAAAGGAGAAUACCGCCGCUAGAUUAUGGAAGACGUUGGAACAACUAUGUAUGUCGAAAACUCUAACUAGUAAGCUGCAUAUGAAGCAGCGUCUUUAUGCUCAUUGUUUGGAGGAAGGUGCGUCUAUGCAUGAACACUUGACAGUGUUUAAAGAAAUUCUCUCAAAUUUGGAGGCCAUGGAGGUUCAGUAUGAUAAGGAAGAUUUAGGGUUGAUUCUACUUUGUUCGUUGCCCCCGUCUUAUUUAACCUUUAGAGAUACAAUUUUAUAUAAUCGCGAGUCUUUCACAGUUGAUGAGAUUUAUAAUUCUUUAACCUCGUAUGAUAAGAUGAUGCAUCUUAUGGUUAAAACUGACUCUCAAUGAGAGGGUCUCAUUAUUCGUGAGAGAUAAGAUCAGAAUAUUGAUGAUGAUCAUGGAAGGACACAAGAACGGAAUCCUCGUGGUAAAUCUAAAGGUAGAUCGAAGUUUUCAAACAGAGGUAAAACUUGUAACUUCUGCAAGAAGAAAGGGCACAUUAAAUCUAAGUGCUAUAAGCUACAGAAUAAGAUCAAAAGGGAGACUGUGAAUCAAAAUGGAAAACAACCAGAAAAUUUUGGUAAGGCUAAUGUUGUAGAAUACUACAGUGAUUGUGAACUUCUAGUCGCUUCUGUCAAUAAUUUUAAAGUGAGCGAGGAGUGGAUCCUUGAUUCGGGUUGCACCUUCCACAUGAGUCCCAAUAGUUAUUGGUUUACAACUUACGAAAUAGUGUCUGAAGGUGUUGUUUUAAUGGGAAAUAAUACUUCAUGUAGAAUUGCAGGUGUUGGAACAAUUAAAGUUAAGAUGCUUGAUGGAGUUGUCAGAACACUUAGUGACAUAUGACAUGUUCCAAAAUUGAAGAGAAAUUUAAUUUCAUUGAGUACUCUUGAUUCAAAAGGGUACAAAUACACAGCUAAAAGUGGUGUUUUGAAUAUUUCUAAAGGUUCCCUCAUUGUGAUGAAAGGAUAGAGAAAGACUACCAAGUUUUAUGUUUUGCAAGGUUCUAUUGUUACUGGUGAUGCAGCUGUCGUAUCCUCUUCCUUGUCAGAUGAUGAUAUUACUAAACUUUGGCAUAUGCGCCUAGGGCAUAUGAGUGAGAAUGGCAUGGCAGAAUUGAGCAAAAGUGGACUUCUUGAUAGGCAAUGAAUUUGCAAACUGAAGUUCUGUGAGCACUACAUUUUUGGGAAGCAAAAGAGAGUUUGAUUCACCAGAGGAAUCCAUAACACAAAGGGAACGUUUGAGUAUAUUCAUUCUGAUCUGUGGGGGCCAUCCAGAGUACUUUCGAGAGGUGGAGCUAAUUAUAUGCUAACUUUUAUUUAUGAUUUUUCCAAAAAAGUGUGGGCGUUCUUCCUGAAGCAGAAAAACGAUGUGUUUUUUGUAUUUAAGUCUUGAAAAACCAUGAUUGAAAAACAAACGGGAAAGUAAAUAAAACACCUCCGCACAGACAAUGGCUCAGAGUUCUGUUUUGAUAAGUUUAAUAAAUUGUGCAAGUCAGAAGGGUUCAUGAAACACUUGAUAGUUCAUCAUACUCCACAGGAAAACGGCGUUACAGAAUAAAUGAACAGAACGAUCAUGGAGAAGGUUCGAUGUAUGUUGUCAAAUACCAACUUACCAAAGUCAUUUUGGGCUGAAGCAGCCUCUACUGCAUGAUUUUUAAUCAACCGAUCUCUAUCCAUUGCCAUUGAGAAAAAGACUCCACAAGAGGUAUGGUCUUGUAAUCCUGCUGACUAUUCUGAUUUAAAGAUUUUUGGUUGUCAUGUGUGUGUGCAUGUUGAUAAUGGAAAAUUGGAAUUGAGAUCCAUUAAAUGUGUUUUUCUUGGUUAUAAAGCUGAUGUAAAAGGGUAUAAGUUAUGAUAUCCUAAAAAUAGAAAAGUUGUGAUUAGCAGAUAUGUUAUUUUUUAUGAAACUGCUAUGCUACCUAACUUAUCUCUUAAAGAAUCUCUCAAUAAAGAAAAUCAAAAGUAGGUGGAGCAUCAGAUUAAUACAGAAUCUACAACAGAGUCGACUACUGAAGCCAGUACAAAAAUUCAAAAUAGAGUUGCUCCUUCACCAUAAUACUCUAUCGCCAAAAAUAGAACUAGAAGAGAAAUUAGACCUCCAAAGAAGUAUGUCAAGUCUGAUCUAGUUGCUUAUGCUUUAAAUGUGGCUAAAGAUAUAGAUGUAAAAUAAGAGCCAUCUAAUUAUUCUGAGGCGAUUAGUUGUGAAGACUCAGAAAAGUGGAUGUUUGCUAUGCAAAAGGAGAUGGAAUCACUCCACAAAAAUAAAAUAUGGGAUCUUGUGAAACUUCCUAAAUGUAAAAAGAUUAUUCGUUGUAAAUGGGUGUUUAAAAAGAAAGAAUGGACUCCAAGAGUUGAAGAACCCAGAUAUAAAGCAAAGUUUGUUGCAAAUGGUUACAGUCAAAUUCCAGGAGUGGACUUCACAGAUGUGUUCUCUCCAGUUGUGAAGCAUAGUUUGAUUCAAGCUUUACUUGGUAUUGUGGCCAUACAUGAUUUGGAGCUUGAACAGUUAGAUGUAAAAAAUGCUUUUUUGCAUAGAGAAGUUAAGGAGGAUAUUUACAUGCAACAACCAGAGGGUUUUACAGUCUCAGAAAAAAGGACUAUGUUUGCUUGCUGAAAAAGUCUCUUUACAGUUUGAAACAGUCACCAAGACAGUGGUACAAGAGGUUUGAUUCAUUUAUGACUUCUCAUGAUUUUAAAAGAAGUAGCUUUGACAGUUGUGCUUACUUUAAGAAAAACAAUGAUGGUUCUUUUGUGUAUCCACUCUUUUAUGGUGAUGAAAUGUUGAUAGCAGUGAAAGAUAAAUGAGGGAUAAGAAAGGUCAAAGCCCAACUAAGUGAAGAAUUUGAGAUGAAAGAUUUGGGACCAGCAAAGAAGAUACUUGGUAUGGAGAUUCUCAAAGAUAGAAAAGUAAGUAAAUUGUACCUAAGUCAAAAGGGGUACAUUGAGAAAGUUCUUUGCAGAUUCAAUAUGCAGAAUGCUAAGCCUGUUAGUACUCCUUUAGCAGCCCAUUUUAGACUUUUAUCGGCUUUGUCUCCACAAUCAGAUGAUGAGAUUAAGUACAUGUCACAUGUUCCAUACUCUAGUACAGUGGGAUCUCUCAUGUAUACUAUGGUUUGUUCACGUCCAGAUUUAUCAUAUGUAGUUAGUGAAGUUAGCAGAUACUUGGUGAAUCCCGAUAAAGAACAUUGGAAAGUAGUUCAGUGGAUUUUAAGAUACUUACGAGGUACUACUGAUGUUUCCUUACAGUUUGGAAGAACUAGAGAUGAAGUCAUUGGGUAUGUUGAUGCUAAUUUUGCUGGAGACUUUGAUAGAAGAAGAUCUCUCACAGGUUAUGUCUUUAUAAUCGGAGGUUGUGCAAUCAGUUGGAAAGCCACUUUGCAAACUACAGUUGCUUUGUCCACCACUGAAGAUGAGUACAUGGCGAUUACUGAGGCUUGUAAAGAAGCUAUUUGGUUGAAGGGACUCUUUAGUGAACUCAAUAAAGGCUUUCAAAUCAAUACAGUAUUUUGCGACAGUCAGAGUGCUAUCUUCUUUACAAAAGAUCAAAUGUUUCAUGAGAGAACAAAACACAUUGAUAUUCGGUAUCAUUUUGUUCGUGAUAUUAUUGCUUGUGGUGAUAUUGUUAUGAGCAAAAUUAGUACUCAUGAAAAUCCUGCAGAUAUGAUGACUAAGUCACUUCCUAUAACCAAGUUUGAGCAUUGCUUAGACUUGGUUAGUGUUCAUUGUUGAAGUUAAACCCUUAAGGGGUUUUAUGGAAUAGGUGGAAAACUUGAUCGUUGAGAGUUCGCGAUGAAGAACUUGUUCAUUAAGAAUUCGUGUCAAUGUGGAGAUUGUUAGAAUUAAGUGACCCGAAUCCUUAUUUAAAUAAAAUACAGUGGUAAAAUAAAAUAAAAGUAAAAUCCCUAUAGAAUUAUACUUCUUUUAUUUUAUUUUAGAAUAAUAUUUUUUAAAUCUUAUUAAACUCCAUCUAUUUGAUAUUGAUUAGAAUAAAGAGUUUCACUCCUAUUAGAAUAAGGUUUUACAAGCCUAUAAAUAGACAUAGUCUACUCCUCUUGUAAUUAAUUCGAAUUCGACAUGGUGAAUUAUCUUCUUCUCUGCCCGUGGUUUUUUCCCGAAAGGGUUUCCACGUAAAAUCUGUGUGUUCUUUAUUUUUUCUAUUUUUAUUUUCUUUACGAUAUAUUGCUAUUAUCGACAUUUAUUUUCACAUAUUCUAAUUAAUUAGAUAUUUCCUUCCUUCCAAAAGCCUUUCAAAAUAGGUUUAGUUUGACCAAGAUACUCUUGUAGAAAAUUUUAGUUUUGUGGGAAAACGAAAAACUAGAUUUAUUUUUUAUUCUAAUUGGUUUCAUAUGCAAGGUAUAUAAACUUUUGUGUCGCUGCAAUUUUUUUCCAACAUAUGUAUGUGAUUUGUGGGGUUUCAAUUUUGAAUUUUUUUUAUAAUUUAAUUAAAUUGUGAAAGUAUUUGAAAGUUUUUAAGUUGAUACAAUGUUUAGAACUACCCCAACACCCACCCAACCCUUAAAUAGGAGGAUAAACAUGCUUCAGCACGCUCAAACUCACAUUCUCCUACAUCUAUGAUAAUACUAAUGCCAACCGAGUUAAGACUCAACUAGCCUUGAAUUUUGAAUUUUACUUCUGAUAUAUUUUGAAUUUUGAAAUUUUAAUUUUGACCCAAACAGUAGCAGUUAAUUUAAUUUGAUUAAAUUUAAUUACUAGACCUAUAUUAUGCGUACGAUUAUUGAUUAGUCUAUACUCUCAAAUUGGGCAAUUCUAAGUACCUAUACUUUCUGAAUUUUGAAAUUUCAGUCUUGAUGCAAAUGACAAUUGUUAAUCUAUUAAUUAGAUUUUUAGCGAGUAAUAUGUAAAAAUAACAAACUGGCAUAACAUUACACAUAUGAUAAUAUGUUUAUUGCACCGCAUUUGAAAAUAGCCGAAUUUAACAAAUAUCGUUAGUGAGGAUUGGAAAUUAGAGUCUAGGGAUUAAAUCCACAAGUUCAGUAAAUUACAAGAACUAAUGGUAGAAUUUAACCUUUAUAUAACCUUUAAAUUCUAACCGUGGUUUGCACACUACUCAGCCGACCAUUGGCUGUGGUGGGAACACAAACUGUUUGAAUUUGACAUCAGUGAUUGAAUUUUCAUAGCUAAUAUGUACGUUCCUUCAAUUUCUCCAUAGGAGGGAGUGGAAUACAUUAUAUAAGGUAAUAUUUGAUAUAUUCGGUAAAUGAAUAAUUGCAAGAUAUCUCAUUAUCUAGUAAAAUAAAUAAUGAAAAUUUUAUAAAUAAAUAUUAAUAAAAUAUUAUUACAUAUAUCAACAAUGACAUAGUAAGUUGCAUUAACUUUUAGAUGUUGACUAUUGACUUUUGCAUCAACCUUGAACUUACAUAGGCCCCUACAAUAAUUUAGGUUAUGGAAAUAAUCUUGCAAAUAAUGCUUGAGACAUCAUUAUACAUCAAUUUAUAGUUUUAAUUCUUGUACUUACUCAAUUGGAAUAAAGAUUUAGUUUUUUAUUUUCUUUUGAUACAAUGUCUAGAAUUAUCCAUAGCCCUUUUCCAACCCUUAAAUAAAUGAAUAAUGUGCUUCAGCGUACUCGAACUCACAUCUUCUUACAUUGACAAAUUGCUGAUGCCAAUUAGUUAAUGUUAAUGCUAUACUUUAGUUAAAAAUAACUAACAUUAUUAAAAAAUUCAUUAGUUGGCUCAUGUGGAUUUUUUUUCAAAAAAAUUGAAAUUAAGAACCAUAAAUUCUUUAAGACUUAAAAAUUAAAAUUAUGUGGUUAUUAAAAAAGAUUUAUUUUUUAUUAAAUUAUUAUUUAAAAUAAAUUUAUCUCAUCAUAAUGAUAUGAUUUUUUUCUUUAAAAAAUCCACAUUAACCAACUAAUAGAAUUGUAUAAAGCUGCCACCAAUCUCUUAGCAUGAUGGCAAAAGAUUCAGAGGCAGCCAGAAAAUCUUUUGAGGGGCGUGAAUAAAGUUAUAUAUUUUUAUAAUAGCAAAAGUGAAAUUUUAUUAUUAUAAUAGUUUAUAUCUUUAAUUUUUAAAAUAUUAAAUAAUUUUUUUCUUAUUUUUGAGGGGAUAAAGUAUAAGUUUAUCAUAUACUAAUUUUAAAAUUAUAAAAAGACUAAAUGUGAAAUUUUUCAUUUUAAGGGGUGGGGCCCUGUCAGGUCUCCUUGGCUUCACCUUGAUAAAAGUAUUAUGUAAUACGUAUAAAGUUUGAGUUUAAUCCCAAACAAUCUCAUUUCUUAUCCCUCAUUAUAAAAUAAUAAAAUAAAUAGAGCAAUUGAUAUGAGGAGACAAGUAUAAUAGGGCAAUUUUAACCUGGGCCAGAUUUCAAAACAAAACCCAAACCAAAUAAUAAAAGAGUCCAAAAUAAUUAAAACAAUCCAUCCAUUUUACAAACAAACCCAAAUUAGCAGCCCAAAUACAAAUUAAAACUCAAUAACCCAAAACUAACUAUAGCCCAAUUAGCUAAACACUUAAACGCAACAAAAAAAACCCUAUCCCCCUAAGCCUCCAACGCUGCAUGACCACCUACGCCGCACGUCGUCGCUGCCGCUCGAGGCUCGCCUAUCUUCGACCAUCCACGCAUCUGACACUUGCAAAACCAAGGCAACACGCAACAACAAAGGCCAAAUAGAGGAAACAACAAGGAAACAGACAAAAAAGGAAGAAACAAACAGUUUUGAUUCGGCUAUAAAAGCCCGAAUCUCACCCUUGUAAUUUUUUUGCGAACAUUAGAAAAUAAAAAAACAAAAACAACACUUUCAAGGUGAAUUUCUACUUUUAUUUCUGUUUUAAAUACUUAUUUGAUUCUAUAUUCAUAUUUUUAUUUUAUUUUUUAUAUAUAUACGAAAAUAAUAAAAUAAAAAAAGGAAGAAAGGGCUCACCGGAGACGCCCCGUGAUCGUGCCGUCAGAAGGCUCUUCUCCGUUGUUGCCAUCGGAUCCGAGAGGGGGUCGAGAGUCUUCCUCUUUCGCUUUUUUGGGUCGAGAGGGCUGGGCUUCCAAGGGAGCUGCGAAACGGGGGCUAAAAAUGCCCUUUUGCGCAACACCGACCACCGGCCACGACAGCACUACGACGGCGACCAUGGCCGGCCAAGGGGUGGGCUGAGAGAGAGACCAAGAGAUACUGAGAGAGUUCUCUGUUUUUUUAGAAAAAUGAAAGUUGAACCGUUUUUUUCUUCUUUUUUUUUGCUAUUUAUAUAGGGUAUAAUACGACGCCGUUUUGGACUUAAGCAUCAGUGGCCAAAACAAUGCCGUUUUGCAUCAGACCUGAAAAUCGACUCGAAUGCGGCCAGGAUCUGCGCGUUUUAGCUUUGAGGAGCUAUUUGCAUAUUCAGCCCUUCCGCUUUUGUAGUAUAGUGCAAUCUGGUCCUCGUUGUUUUUAUAUUUUGGCCGCAUAAUUUUUUGAUUGUUUUACUUUGGUCCGAGCUGAAACGCUGCGCAUAGGGGCUAGGAAUAUUGCCCAGUCGGUCCCUCAUUCCUUAAGCGCGCUCUAUUUCAGUCCCUAGCAACCCUUUUUUUUAUUUGUAAUUUAAACCCCAAAUUCUGGGUCGAUUUUAGUAUCAUCCUUAGUCCAUUUAAUUUAUUUGUUCACUAUUUUUUAUUUAAAAAACUCUUUUAUUAUUAUUUGUUUUAAGUUUUUUUAUUUAUCAUUUAUUUUAAAUUGUUUUACAUACUAUUUAUUUAAAUUUUUUAUAUAUUAGUCAUUUUAAACCAUUAUAUGUACAUUAUCUUUUAAAUUUUUAUAUACAUAUAUUUUUUUUAAAAAAAACUGUUGUAUGUUUCUUAUUUAUUUAUUUUAAACUGUUAUUAUUAUUCAUUUUAAGUUUUUAUAUACUGUUUAUUUGAAGCCGGUUAUUAUUUAUUUUUGAAUUGUUCUUAUAAAUUAUUUACUUUAAAUUAUUAUUUACUUUGAAAUUUUUUUGCAUAUUAUUUUGUUUUGUUUUUUUUAUUGUUAAUAUUAGUAUAAAAAUUAUAUACAUUGUGUGAUUAUUACCGCCAUGUGUACUAUAAUUAGUUUCUUCGUGUUUUCAUAUUAUUAUCACUCAUUAACAUAACAUUUUUUUCAUAAAUUGUUAUUUUAUGUUCUAUGUUAUCAUUCCAUUUCACUUCAUCACUUCGAAAGUUGCAUUCAAUUUGUAUUUACCCAUAAUAAACCGUUCUAUUUUGUCACAAAUAAAACAAAUGCACCUCGUUCAAGCAUUGUACUCACAAUUAUUCAAAACGGGGAAAAGUUUUAAAAUAAGACAAUAUUUCGCAUUUUGGAGAUUUGAGAAAUUGUACCCUAACUUACGGGGUUUCAAUUUUCUCGUUGAACCUAAAUAGCAAAAUAUCCUUCUAAUUUUCAAAAUUUACGAAAUUCCAAUAAAGUUAAAGGCUAGCUUAUUCUCAAGGGUUCUAAGUGUCGUGUCCUAACUUACGGGAUGUGACAUUUAUUAUCUCGAGACGAGAGGAUCUUUGACAUUCGUUUCAAUUUAUUCAAGCAAAUUCUUUUAAAUUAAAAUAGCGUUAACAAAAGGGGGAUCGUGUUUUAAAUUCUUUCGAAGUUUUUCAAUUUUUAACAUUUAGACAUUAAUUAAUCAAUUGAAUACCAAUUUUGGGCGUGACGAGGGUGCUAAUCCUUCCUCGCAUGUAACUGACUCCCGAAUCCGUUUUCUCAAAUUUCAUAGACCAAAAUCACUGUUUUGAUAAAUUAAAAUAUUUUAUUAAAACAACUAAAUUAUGAGGUGACCUAAUCACACCUCAUAAAAAAAAGAUUGGUGGCAACUCUCGUUUUAAUUUCCAUUUUCAAACCAACGUCGACCCUUUUAAAAAAAUGGUUUCAAUAUUAAGUUAUAAGUUGAAUGAAUUAAAAAUAUGUGAAAAGUGUAAAUAGAGACUCUUCAAUCUCAUUUCCUCUAAUGCUCUUUUUUUAAAUUUUUUUUUAAAUUUUUUAUGUACCUUUUAAAUAGUUAAUGAAAAUAAAAAUAUUUUGAUAAUUUUCACUUCGAAAUGCAAAAGCCAACAACAGUUUUUGACUACAAAAGCGGUGUGUUCUUCAUCACUUCUCAGUGGAAAAACACUUCUGCAAUGUAACAACACUUUUAACCCAAAACGGCUUUUUCACCACAAUAGAGAAUGCACCCUAAAAUUGUAAAUAGAAAAAAGAAGGAUCAAACAUUGUUUCUACCCUGUUUUUGUCUCCUCUUUGAAAAUACUUUCCAAAAAGUUUUAUCAUUUUUUUUUCUGUUUACAAAUUCCUUAUAGAAGUGCUUUCUUUUGAUCCACUUGCAUCAUUGUAAUAAGUUUGCAUUGCCUUCUAACUUUCUAUGUUGAUUACAGUUUAUUAAGUUUUCUGUUGGAUCUUAUAGUCAAAUUCCUUUACAUCAUGUAUGUUAAUUUGCUUAGCCCUGAUAAAUGUUAGAUAUAGGGUUAUCAGUGUCGAAACCACUUUUUUGGCGAACAAAAAUUAGUUGUUGACUUUAAAAACGAAAGUUGGAGUCGCCAUCGAUCCUUUAUUGGGGUGUGAUCGGCUCACCUUAAAAACGAUUUUGGUCUGCAAAAUUUGAGAAAACAGGUUCGGGAGUCGGUUACGCAUGAGAAAGAGUUAGCACCCUCUUAACGCCCAAAAUUGGUACCGAAUUAAUUAAUUAAGGUCUUAAUGCCGAAUAUCGAAAAUCUGUGAAGAAUUUAAAAAUACGAUCCUCCCUUUUUGUUAAUGUUAAUUUUAUAAAAGAUGCUUGGAUAAAUCGAAGCGAAUGCUAAAGACCUUUUUGUCUUGGAAUAAUAAAAUGUCACACCCAAUACGUUAGGACAUGACAUUUUAGUCCUCGAGAAUAAGCUUGUCUUUUGAUUUUCAAAGCUCGUGCGGUGAAGUUUAAAAAGGAUAUUCAAUUGCUUUAACUCAGAUGAAAAAUCGGAGCCCAAUACGUUAGGGCACAAUUUCUCAAAAUUCCGAGCAUUGAAUAUUGCCCUUAUUAUUAUUAUUUUUAAAAUCUUCAUCUCGAGAAAAUGACAUGUCAUAUCCAAUAUGUUAGGACACGACGUAUCGAAUUUUCGAGAAUGAGCUUUUUAUUUAUGCUUUAAUUAAAAAAGGAUACCCGGUUUCUUAGAUUCAACGAGGAAGAUUGGAAUCCAAUAAGUUAGGACACAAUCUUUUCGAGGAUCCUAAAUUCCGAGUGUCGCGUUAUUUUUGAAAAAAAACUUUUUGAAUAAAAAUGCUCUCGAUACUUGAAUGAUAUUAAACGUAACCUUUUAACAACGAAUAAAAUGCGACGGGACGAUAAUGUAUAACGCGGAAUGACGAUUUGUAAACAAAAUAUACUCUAACGAAUGACAAAUAAUCAAUAAAAACAAAUAAACAUUAUCAUACAUAUAAGAGCAAUAAUCACAUGUAAAUAUUAACAUCAACAUUUGAAAGCUAAUGACCUAAAAGCCUAUCGCAAAUACAACAAAUUUAAAAUAACUAAAAAAAAAGCAUGAGAGAAAAGAAAUUUGAAAUUAUCAACAUAUAUACACAAAAUACACGUAUAUAAAAAUUUAAAAGAAAUAAUUAAUAGGAAGACUUGAAAUAAUUUAAAAAUAGAAUUAAAAAUGAAUAAUAAUAUCUAAAUGAAUUUUAAAAUAAAUAUUAUAAGAAGAAAGUCAAAAUAAAUAAAACCCAAAAUAAUACACAUAUAUUAAUCUAAAUAGGUAAUAGAUAUAAAUUACGUAUUAUAAAAGAAAACUAUUUAAAAAGGGUAAAUUCUAUUGGAUUAACAUAAAAAUAUAAAAUAAUUUAUUAUGAAAUUAAAUAAUAAUAUAUGAUAAUAAUAUAAAAAAACUUAAAAUAAUAGUGCAUAAUAGAAUAAAAUAAUGAAUAUAAAAAGGUUAGAUAAAUUGAUAAAAAAUAAUACUAAUAAUAAUAAUAGUAGCAGUAAUAAUAAUAAUAAUAAUAAUAAUAAUAAUAAUAGUAAUAAUAGUAAUAAUGAUAAAUUAAUAUUAAAGUAAUUAAUUUGAUAGCAAAAAUAACAAAACAGAUUACUAAUUUGGAAUUAAAACAGAAAUUUAGGGGUAAGACGUGCAAUAAAAUGAAAUGAAAAGGACCUAAUUGAAAUUAAUUUAAAAUCAGACUGACUAGCAAAGAAAUUAAACGCACAAGUCUCACCUGGCAAUCAAGUCAGAUCAUCAGAAACGGCGUCGUUUCGAACGUUUGUCUCCUCAACUGACAGAAGGACGAAAUUGAAAGAAAUAUCGAAUUAUGUGGCAAAAUUAAAAAAGACAAAGAAGGAUUAAAAUGAAGUAAAUAAAAAACAGAAGGACCAAACAGGAGAAUAAGCCAUUGAAACAAAACACGCGGAUCCUCCCCGGGUCAAAUCGGAUCAUCGGGUCAACCAACACGGAGACGUUUUGAAGCCAUUAAAUCGGGCUUAAACGGCACCGUUUUAUUAUCGUUAAAAACCUAAAAAAAUAAAACCCUAAUAAUUUGUUUUGCCAUCCUAAAACAGAUCAAGAGCCUAGCCUUCUCCCCACCGGUCUCCACUCACGAACCCAAUCUGACUCCGAUUCAGACGGAGCAAACCAGAUUCCAAUGGCGUCUGCUCUGGUAAGACGCUUCUUCUCUCCCUCUUUUUUUUUCGUUUGGUGCCAAAGAAGAAAACAAAGAAUCAAAGAAAUAAAAGAGAAAAAAAAACGAAGAAAAUCACCUUUCGAAAAAACUUUCUGUUUUGAUUUUUUGUUUGUAUUCAAUAUGCGUAAAAAAGGAUUACAAUGGCCUUCUCCCUCUUUAUAGCCGAAUAUUCGAAAUAAAAUGAAAGAAAAUACAAAAAAUUCUCUCUGCUGCGUUGUUUUCGUCUUCUUUGCAGGUAAGGAGGCUAGCUGGCGUAAGGAGGUGGUGGACGUGGCACAGCACACUCGGGGAAGGCCCUGGUGGCUGCGGCGCUGGAAGGAGGGCUGUUGCAGCUAGGGUUUUCUGAUUUUUUUUUGGGCUAGGGUUGGGUUGAUAGUUGUAUUGGGCUAGGUAUUUGGGCUGGGUGUAGUUGGACUAGAUGUAUCUGACUUUGGGUUUGUACCGGGUCACUGUAAAUGGGUUUGGUUUUUGUUGUUAUUGGGCUGUGAACUAUUUGAGUUUUAAUUAAUUUUUAUUUAUUUGGUUUUUUAUUGUGGGCUGGGCAAAUUGGGUAUUACAAUCAGCUAAUUAGGAAAGACUGUGAUGAUAGUCACACCUUACAUCCAAAAGCAAAGCUUUUUUUACAUGUGUAUGUAAGGUUGCUAAGCAAAUCUGGUGAGCCUUCACUGCUGUUUUAAGGUUAAGUUAAUGUUCCUUUUCGGCAAAGAACAUUAUCGAGAUCACGGUAUUUUGAUCGCCUUUUGCUUCUUGUUAUUCGUUCUGAAACGAUUGCAUAAUCUUUACUGUGAUUGCAGGAUAUAGAGCAACUUUUGAAUUUCAUCGCUGUAAAGUGUUUAGGACCACGACAUGUUCUUGCAAAUUUGAAGAAGCUUCUAAGGUCUGUCCAGUCUUCAGAAUAUAUAGAUACCUGAAUUAAUUUUGAUUUUGUAGGAUCAACUAUAAUUAGCUACUUAUUAGAGUAUGAAUAGACAACCUCACCUUCUUCACACACUGACACGUGCGGAUUUUUUGCCAAUCCCAUUUCAAAGGAUCACACUUUUUUGUUGUUUACAGAAUCAUAAUUAAUGUUAAUUAAAGUGGAAUAUUUCAGAUUUCUGAUGAUGAGCAUAUUCUUGAGUAUUGCAGUAAAAAAAUGGGUGCGGAACUUAUUUGAACUUUGAAUGUAUGUUUUGUUGGUGAGAAUAUAAAGUUGAUAAAGAUUUGGUAAAUAGAAUAAAAUACUAUUUUUUAUUAGAAAAAUUAUUUGGUAGACUGCCAAUCGAUUUAUAAUUAUCAUGACGCAAUAUUAAGGGUAAUUAAAACAUGUCAUAUUACAAAUAAUAAAAU